GCUUGGUCAACUCUCAGGCCUUUAUUCUUGAAGAUAGCAAAAUUACUCAAAGUUCCAUAUCAUAUGUAUGCAUAAAUCUUGUGCUUGGCACUUAUUCCUUGAGAAGAUGUGCAUCAAUAUCUUUAAUGACAUUGACCAUAAAGCUGAGGUACUUCUGUGGAGGCGGAUCGUUCUCGUUGAGUUUUUCAUAUUCUAAAGUAAUUUUCACAAAACCUCCUUCACUCUUUGGAGUGACCUGGAAAAUGAUCUUGUAGCUUUUGUAAUUGUCCAGCACAUGUGAUCCUUCCAGAGCUGUAAGACUCACCCACUUGUUUACUUCAUCUAUUUCCACCUUUUCCUUGAAUGUCUCGACAUUUCCAUCUACACGUCACAUGGAAAAUUACAAUGAUACAUCUAUUCAUGGAGAGAUUUUUCAAUGCUCAGAACACUAGGUGGUACGACACAUUAUUAUACAAACGAAUGAAAAUUAUUUUCAAGUGUCUUUUCACUUAUAUAAUGAAAUAUAAUUUAUGUAUCCAUGUUCCGAGCACACUAAAAAUUCUCUCAUGUCCAUGAUCCGAUUCUUUAUAUAUUCAUCGUCAGGUAAUGCAAACCUAAUGGCGCAUGGAUGGCCUGGUCAAUAUAUUUCAGUUUUAAUUCUAGAAGAAUCUUAUACGUACAUAUACAUAUCACGUUAGCAUGUUUAUUUCAUAGCAGGUUAGUUUGUGUUAUUAAAAAAAAAAAAAAAUAAUAAUAAUAGUAAUAAUGUUACAGUAUUAACUAUAAACGUAACAUUAUUAUUAUACAACUUUUUUUAACAAACAAUAUUAUCUACAUUAAGGGAAAGAGGUGAGCUUAGCCUCACAAUGUUUGAACGAUGGAAAUAAAUUUGGACUUUUGACAAAAUUUAGAAUUUAUAAAUUAACAUGCACCAAUUCUCUUGUCUAGAUUCAUAAACAUAGAAAUUUAGAAUUUCCGCGUGAAAAAAGGGAGAAUUUGAGACCUCCAAUUCCCAAGUUUAAAUUUCAUGUAAAUAAGUCACUCAGUAUUACAGUCUUAUAGUAUUUCUCUUCACUUGAAAGUGAGAGGUUAUAGGUUCGAAUCUUGUUAAUGACGAAUUUGAUACCAAAUUAGGCUACCCAUUGUGUGGCUUUGCCGAACUCCCCCUCCCCUUAGUGUAAAAAUAUCGAUGUACUAAAAAAAAUCAUGUAAAUAGGUGUUAUUCCAAAUUUUUAUGAGUGAGAGUUUAAAGAUAACAAAUUCUAUAUUGAAUUUAUAUUAUUCUUUUAAGUUAGUCAAACAAGAAAAUUUACAAAUUCUAGAAAUAAAAUUUCAUAGUAAUUUUAAAUUUUCUCAUUCAAACAUAAUGUUAGAGUCAUGAUGUAACACCCGUCGCUUUUUAUUUAACAAAAUUAAUUAUUAGUUUAACUAGGUUAGGAGGAGAGAGGAGGGUGAUUAAUUUCAUAUUACCUAGGGUGUAUUUCCAGAGCUUGACAGAGCCAGAAGUUUCCCAGUCACCUUCAUGUACUGCAACAUCGUGUAUUUUAUCAGAGGCUGCUUUGGGGACGUCGUGGUGCUGGUUGCUGAUGACUUUGUACAACUUAUCAGCGUUGGCUUUGAUCUCUACCUCAACCUCCACAGUCAGCUUGCAAGCACCAGCUCUGUUGAAUAUAUCAGUCCACCUCAUCAUUCCAGCUCAGCAAUAGUUAGUUAGGCUGUUAUCAAAUUAGUUAGUUAAAUAGCUUAGGCUGUAAACUAGUCAUGAUGGCUAUAUAAACUGUAUUCUCAUAGUUGUAAAGAUUAAUUCAGUAUCAAUGUAACCAAUUACUGUCUCUCUCUCUUAUUCCCUUUUCUCUCUUCUUCUUCGGUACAUGCUCUUUCUGCAACUCUUCAUUUCUGUUAACAUGGUAUCAUCGCCAUGGAUGAUCUUUUGACUUCCGUUGUAGUACCUCUGAUGGGUAGCUGAUCUCUGUGUAAGGUUGAUGACGUUUUGCUGUUCUUGGGAGGCUUCGAUACUUGUCUAUGGAGUUUUCGUUGGUGAUGAAGAUCUGUGCGCUCCAGGUGUUUGAUAAUUUGUGUCAGCCAAUUGUCGGAGUUUGCGAGGAUUCUGGUAUAGGUGUGUCAUCGCCGGAGGUCGGUUCUUGGUGAUUUGUUGCUCUUCCGCUGUGGGUGAACAAGCUUGGAUGUUCGAGUGCGUUUUCUGGGUUUCAAGAUUCAAGUUCUCAGGUUUUGUUUCUGAUUACUAGUUUUCUUUCCAGCAUAUCAACUAUUGUGACUCAGUGAGAAUUUUGUUGGGAAUUUCGGAAGUGUCAAGGCCAAUAGCCGUAUACUUCAGAUUUGUGAAGAGUUCAAGGUCGAAUGUCAUAUUUGAGAAUCUUUAAGGCAAAUUGCCAUUUCUCAGUUGCUAUAAAAUUGUUGAUUGUAUUUCCCUAAGGCCGAUUGCCGGGAUUUUAUGUUGUCUAAAAGAUUGUCUGUUAAUUGGGUUCUCUGUGAUUGUAUGCUGUACUCCCUUAAGGCCGAUUGCCGGAGUAUAAAGCUGUCUGAAAGUUGUUUUCUUGAUGCAAAGUGUUUGUUGGGAUAGAGAGGCCGAUAGCCAUUUCCCUUUUAUGUUUCACUUCAGAAAGGCCGAUAGCCAGAAGUGUGUGUAGAACAUUAACUGAUUUAGAAGAAUAUGAAGGCCGAUUGCCAUUUCUUCUAAGAGAAAGAUUGUUUAGUAGGAUUUGAAGGUCGAUUGCCAUUGUUGAAAGAUUGCUGAAAGAUUGAAUCUUUGAUUCAUUAUUGGGUAUUGUUUGAUUGUUUGUUGGGUAUUGUACACUCAAGAAGGCCGAUUGCCAAGAGUGUCUUAGUUCAAGAUUCUGCAAAGUUGUUCAUAUUCUAUCUGCAAAAGUGAUGUGUGAUGAUAAUGGGAUGAGCAACCUGUUUUAGUUUUGGCAAGUUUGAAAGGAUGAUAACUAUAUGUGGUUGUACCUUAUCGCAAAAGAAAAUAGUAGCUACAGAGGUGUAGAAAUCAGUUUGAGGGGCUGAAAUUCUUUGGGCAGUUGAUGGAUGAGUAUGAAAUUGCAUCGUUCUUAAGUAAUUUUCAAUGCUUGCAGCCAUGGAGGAUUAAUUGGUGAGGAGCAGCAGAGCUAGGAGUAUAUGGACAAGAAGGACUUCCUAAGUUCUACAUUUCUCAAAGCACUCAUUCAAUCUCCAACUAGGAAACUCAGUUGAGAUUGAGGGGGGAUGUUGAAUAUAUCAGUCCACCUCAUCAUUCCAGCUCAGCAAUAGUUAGUUAGGCUGUUAUCAAAUUAGUUAGUUAAAUAGCUUAGGCUGUAAACUAGUCAUGAUGGCUAUAUAAACUGUAUUCUCAUAGUUGUAAAGAUUAAUUCAGUAUCAAUGUAACCAAUUACUGUCUCUCUCUCUUAUUCCCUUUUCUCUCUUCUUCUUCGGUACAUGCUCUUUCUGCAACUCUUCAUUUCUGUUAACAAGCUCCACUCACUGCCAUUUUCUUUUAUUUGUUAUUAGUAAUAUGUGAUUAGUCUGGGGAAAUUGUAGGAGACGUAUACUAACCUACAGGUUUCAACUUCUUAUAUAGAGUCGCAAAGUUGUAAAUUAACAUGUUAUAAACUGAUAGUUAUGGAGGCAGCGUGUGGAUAUGAUCCGAUCACUUAAUUAAAUAGUUAUAUAAUAAUAUUGUGUCUGUGGAUCUUCCACGCAGAGUUUUAUUAUUACACCUACCAAACUUAAGAGCACCCGCAAACUUGAUGAGACAUAUAUCAACACGUGAGAACAAUGAUUGAUCAACAUUACCUCCAUAGUAUUAUUAGAGUGAAUGAUUGUAUGAUAUUAAUUAAGCAUUAAGAUCUUGGGAACUUUAAUGAAAAAUUUCUGGUAUUAUUCAUUUUAAUAAAAAAUUAUAUUUUUACAUUAAAAAGUCAAUCUUAAUACUAUUCACUUUAUUCUUUAUUUUGUCCUUAUUGUUAAAACUCAAAAUUUUCAAGCCAUUUUCAUUAAUUUUCUUUAAGAUCUUUUGAUUUGGCAUGCGGAAGUGUGUGUUUGUAUAUUAUAUAGGGAUAAUACUAAGUUAGGUUCAUAUUAUCUUAACUAGUGAUAAAUUAAGGGUUCUUUCGAGUUAUUCGAAACAGUGGUUUAUAUUAUCUUGACAUACGUGCAACCAAACACAAAAAAGAGAGGCUGUAUUGGCUUCCAAAAUAAAACUAGAUGCAAACAAUAAUGUGGAGUUCCGGUUACUCUUUUGGAAUCAACCAAAGCUGAAUCAUUGAUGCCUACUUUCAGAAAGUUUUCCUUUUCUGCAUGCAGAUCUUUUCAAUGGAUGUAGCUCGUUUUGGGAGGUAACCACUUACUUCUUCGAGUUCAUUAAUUUUAGUCAAUCUAAAGUAAUUUAAUUAAGUUUAUUAACCUUACAAUUUUGAGCGUUAAUACUCAAUUUUGGAGGAAUUGCAUCACGUUUACGUAAAGGCAAUCGAAAUAAUAGAGUGGAAUUAAAUUUCAAUUACGGAAUACUCCAGUAUUUACUAAAUAUUGGAGAAUAAAAAAUUUGAUAGCACCCACUCAAUUUUUUUAAUCCAAUACUAAUUCAUACUCAAAUUUUGGAAUAAAAAAUCUAAUACUAAUUCGUACUCAUCAAAUGAAAGUAAAAUCUAAUUCUUCAUUUUUUAAGUACUUAAUUAUUGUAAUGUGAGUAAACGCAUGAAAAUCAUGAUUUAGAAUAUUUUCUAAUGCAGACUCUAAGUCUGAAAUUGAAAUAUAAAGAUAGCCCUUGAAGGGUCGAUUCUGGUUAAUCUAGGCAUGAGAAUACGAAAAAAUACACACAAAGUUAUUAAGAUAGCUUUCCUUUUUUAUAUUUUAGCGAUAGUCUAGUCUAAUCCAACAUUAGACCACAUUCAGUAAUUCAAACUAAGAGAAGGGGGAUUCAAACUUGGCUACACUCGGAUUCUCAUAUUAGGAUUGAUUCUGAAGUAAAAGAAUAUAACCAAGUUGAUCAAGAAAUUUCAAAAUUUCUAAUGGAAACUUAUUAGAAUUUUUUUGUGAAUGUGUUGAAGUUGGGAUUUUUUUGUUUUCGUAUUGAAGUUGGGAUUGAAACAGAAGAUAAAGCAUAAUAUAAAGUUUCAUUACAAUUAACAACAUGUUCUAUUAAAUGAAAGUGACUAAAUAUUGAAAAACAUGCUACGCCGCGUUGAUCAACUCCGGCAACGAGCAUUAGCACUGCAUCCACGGUUGUAGGGGUUGCUCUGAUUCUGAGCACCCGGCUUGCAGUUGUUGGAGGAAGCACCUCUCUGAGAGCAAGGAACAGUGUUUCUCUGCAGCGCUUCAUAGCUUAUGUUUCGUGAGGUGGCCAAGAUGCGCCUGCUAAUCUCCGAGUCCAUGCCAAACUCAUCAUCACGAUCAUCCAUGCACUCUGCUACAGAACCCUCGCAGCGAGGUCUCACUGGAGCCCAGCUCACCCCAUGAUCGCCGCCUGCAUCAACGGAGAUGACCAGAGCGGCCGCGAAAAUCAACGAAAAGAUAAUCGCAGAGGAAUUAGCCAUAGGUUUUGGUACGGUCUGUGUUUUUAGCUGCCAACUUGUAUUUUGUUGUACGCCUGUUUAAUUACAGAGGUAGAGAGAGGGGGCGGCAAGAAAGAGAAGAGAUAAUCGGUGAAAUUUUGAUGUGUAUAUUCUUUCACCCUAUUGUGCUAAUUAUAGUAGUAAAAAGGGAAAAUUUUUGUCUUUCAAGUAAUUCAUAGGAGUUAGGGAAAAUCCUUGUCUCUCAAGUAAUCCAUCUAAAAUAGGACAUUAUGUAAAAGAUAUUAUACAAUUCCAUAAGGAUUUACACAAUCAUAUUCCUAAUUAAAUUAAGACUGUGACAUAUUUAAAUUUGGUUAAAUAAAAAUUGGAUGUUGAUUUCUUUAAGGAGGUAAUUACUUAAUUGACAUGCUUUAAUUCAACCUUAUUCCAAUUGCAACAAAGACAGCUGAAAUUGAAAUAAUUCGUGAUUUAUUCAAAACCUAACAAGAAAACAAAAUCAACAACUACUACAAAAUAUGCUCGUAGAGAUUUCCGGGAUGUUUCUGCUCUUAAGUGUUUUUGCUAAAAGCUCUUUUAUCAGUACAAGGUUGAGACUUUAGUUAAAAAACUAAGUUGUUCUCGAAAAAAUAUAAGCAUGCCAAUAGAUUGAACUUGUUUACAACAUCAGCAUUAUAAUAAUAUCACACUCAAUUCAUUCUUGCUCAUAGAAUUAAAGACAAACCAAAUCAGAAACCGAAAUAAGCAACAGUGCUAACUAGCUUGCUCAGCUCUCAGGUCUUUAUUCUUGAAGAUAGUAAUAUUACUCAAUGUUCCAUAUCGUAUGUAUGCAUAAAUCUUGUGCUUGGCGCUUAUUCCUUGAUAAGAUGUGCAUCAACAUCUUUAAUGACAUUGACCAGAAAGCUGAGGUACUUCUGUGGAGGCGGAUCGUUCUCGUUGAGUUUUUUAUAUUCUAAAGUAAUUUUCACAGAACCUCCUUCACUAUUUGGAGUGACCUGGAAAAUGAUCUUGUAGCUUUUGUAAUUGUCCAGCACAUGUGAUCCUUCCAACCCUGUAAGACUCACCCGCUUGUUUGCUUCAUCUAUUUCCACCUUUUCCUUGUAAGUCUCGACAUUUCCAUCUACACGUCACAUGGAAGAGUAUAAUUAUACAGCUAUCCAUGGUCCGAUCCUUUAAAUAUUCAUCGUGUGGUAAUGUAAACCCUAUGCAUGGAGGUCUUGUCAUUUUUAAUUCUAAAAGUACAUAUAUAUGAGGUAACGCAAACCCCUAGCUUGCUAGGUUUCAAGUUAGCAUGCCUAAUUAUUUUGCAGCAGGUUAGUCUGUGGUAUUAAAAAAAAAAUGUUAGUCAUAAGUAUAACCUUAACAAUGUUUGGUUGUAAUUUGCUUGCUCCUUCAUGCAAUCUCACAGUCUCACUACCACCUCCACAAGUUUGCGGAGUAAGCAUCUUCAUUCGCCCCAAAAGGGCUUCGUUUCACUAUCUUUUACACAGCGGAGGCUGUAUAAAGCUACGACAGAACAAAAUUCGGCACCCGGGAGAGGGACGAUCUCCAGAGAUUCUUUAACAUUUUUUGUAUUUCUUUUUUUGUUGAAUCAUUUCUUGUAAUUUAAACAUUUAGCGUCAUCUUGUAAUUUAAAUAUUACCUAUGGUGUAUUUCCAGAGUUUGACAGAGCCAGAAGUUUCCCAGUCACCUUCAUGUACCGCAACAUCGUGUAUUUUAUCAGAGGCUGCUUUGGGGAAGUCAUAGUGCUGGUUGCUGAUGAAUUUGUACAGCUUAUCAGCGUUGGCUUUGAUCUCUACCUCAGCCUCCAUAGUCUCCAGCUUGCAAGUACCAGCUCCACUCACAGCCAUUUUAUUUUAUUUGUUCUUUAUAAUAUGUGAAUAACGAUAGUGUAAGUCUGGGGAAUUGUAGGAGACGUAUACAAACCUAUAGGUUUCCACUUCUUAUAUAUAAAGCCAUGUUAUAGUUACGGAGGCAGUAUGUGGAUAUUAUCCGAUCACUUAAACAGUUAAAUGAUAACAAUGUGAGAGUGGAUCUUCCACGUAAAAUUUUAUCACCACUACACACCUACCAGAAUAAAACUUUUUUCUUUUUUUUUUUAAUUAAAAGAAGAAAUGUCAAUUUCAUUCCGCAUUAUUAUCAUGGAACAAGACAUUAUUUUGAAUACAUUGAAGAAGAAAAAAAAAUAUAUAUAAUAAGUUAGAGGGGACAUGAAGCCUAGCCCUAACAAGAAGUAGAAAACUAUUUGAAACAACAAUCAAUUAAGACAACUCCUAAGAGAAACAAGAAUUUGGAAACACCGAAAGAUUAUGAGCAAAAGUCAUAACUGCACAUGACGGAUAAGAAUCACACAAAUAAUGAAAACUAACAUGAUCAACAUAAUAGUUUGCUAAACAAUUUGUUACAUGAUUUCCUUCCCGAUUAACGUGAGAAAACUGAACAUGCAUGGAAGAGAGAAUGGUAUAGUAAUUUGUCAAAUCAACCGAUAAACUAUGGUGCAUUGCCAAACAAGAAUUACACUCAUUUCAAAGAGAAUGCUGCUAACCCCUUUCGAAAGCAAUAUAAAUAACAUGAAUAAUAGCUUUAAGUUUCACUUCCAAAGCAGUAACAAUGCCAAAAAAAUCUUGUAUUAAAGCAUCAAAGAGACCCAAGUGAUCACGAAAAAUACCACAAAAACCAGCAAACUUGAUGAGACAUUUCAACACGUAUAUAUAUAAGAGGAUCAAUGAUUGAUCAACUUUACCUCCAUAGCAUUAUUGGAGUGAAUGAUUGUACGAUAUUGAGGCGUUUGUUUGGAUUUGGCACGAGGAAAUGUGUGUAUAUAUUGUAUAUAUAGUGAUAAAACUAAUUUAGGUUUAUAUUACCUUAACUAGUGAUAAAAUUAAGGGUUCUUUAGAGCUAAUAGAAAUCAAUGGUUUAUAUUAUGUUGACAUAACCUAGAGAGAGAAAAAAAAGAGGUUGUAUUGUCAUCAAAAUAAAAUUAUGACACAAACAAAUAAUGUGGAGUUCAUGUUACUUAUUUGGAAUCAAUCAAAGCUGAAUCAUUGAUGCCUAAUUUCAGAAAAGUUUUUCUUUUCUGGAUGCAGCAUCUUUUCACAGGAUUUUUUUUUCGGUUGUUGUAUUGUGAAGGAACUUCUUGGAUAGUUUUUUUUCCCUUUUACACUAGCUUAGUGUCUUCCUGCCAAAAUAAUGACACAGAAAUUUUCAUCAAAAGGGUUGGCGAUGUCGGGCAGCAAAUGUAGUUUCCCGUGAAAUUGCAAAACUUGCUCACAAUCUGAUGAUUUUGUCUCUUGGGUUGGCUCUCCCUUCUCCUAACUGCUGAAGACUGAUGAAGCAGAAAUUUAAUCAUCAAUGAAUUUCCUUGACUAAUCCAUUAUCUUUCCGUUGCCCGUUCUCUUUGAUUUGUUCAUAAUCCGAUUAUUGUUCAUUCCAAUUCCAAGCGCGUAAACGUGCCCUCAUAGUUAUGGACUUGUUCGCAUCGUUUAAUUUUCCUUGAAUACCUGACUUUGUCGCCUAUGGUUUCACAAGAAAAUAAUCUCUUUGUUAAACCAGAAAAUUUAACGGUUCAUUAAUUAGCAACUAUUUCAUUUUUUAACAAUAUUUGGCUACUCAAAGGAUGAGUAAGAGUUCCUACUCAAACCUAUUUGUUGCCGAUCCAUAGAACUUCAUGUUUAUAAUAGAGCAGUUCAUAUUAGAAAUCACUUUAUAAAAAUUGUCUCUACAAAAAAUCAAUUAGACUAAGGUCGUUUAGUAGUCGAACUGUGAAAAAACAAAGGAAAGAAAUUGGUGAAAACAUUACAAACCAUUUAUGUAUUUACUAGAAUAAAUUGACUAAAUGACCUUAAUUUUAAUUCAAUUUUUGCAGAAAUGAUCUCCACAGUGUGAUUCAUAAUAUGAACAGUUCUGUUCAUAAGCACAAACUUCAGUGAUUCGAACAUGAAAAAUUUUGAGUGGGAGUUCUUACUCAUCUUUGAGUAGCCAAGCAUUGUUCUUCAUUUUUUUUUAUGUCAGUAAUAGUCUGACAAAGAACAAUAAUAAGUAAACUGUGAAAAAAAAAAUAUUUUACAAAUGGAAAAACAAACAAAAUGAAAAAGAAAAUAAAUUAAUAUUUUAAGUUGUUUUCACUUUGAAAAUUUUGUUUUAUUCAUUCCCUCUUUAUCUAAUUCUUAGCCUUCAUGUAUUGAAUUAUGCAUUGUAUUGUAGAAUCCAAAAAAAAAAAAAAAAAAAAACUUUUUUGGAAUCCAUAUGUGUAUAAGCAUGAAAUUAUAGCCCACCCAUAUGAAAAUUUUGACUCCGCGGUUGCAUGUAAGGAUAAACAUGCCAAUAGAUUAAACUUAUUCACACUAUAACAUAAAAAUGCUAUUACACUCAAUUAUAGAAGUUGCUCAAAAGACUAAAGACAGUCCAAGUCGGAACUAAACAACAAGGCUAUAGCUUGCUCUUCUUCCAGCCUUUAUUCUUGAAGAUAUAAGAUUAUCUCCCCUCUUAAUCUCUCUUUCCAUUCCUCCUCUCCUAUUUAAAUGUUUACCGCGUCAACAUCUUGUUUUAAAUUUAUUAUAUAGAGAAAAAGACAAAAAGAAAAGUGUAAGAUGAGGAGGGAGAAUGAAAUGGUAUUGGAAGGUAGAGAAUCCUACUCCAAGUGUUCGUUAGGGGAGAGGGGGACCCUGAGAGCAGAAGACUCUUCAUCUUCAGGUUUGAGAGUAAACGCUUUACUGUUGAAGAUAUAUAGUGAUUGACACAUCAUCAUAAGUGCUACAUCAGCUAUUGGAGUUAGUUAGUUUUUUAAGAAUCAGUUACACAAGUGGCUUAGCUGAUAAGCUACAUGUGCAGACUAUAUAAAGGAAUCAGGGGUCUUUUGUAUCUCUCUUCAUCCUUAUGAAAUAACAAAACUUUUACUCAUUUCUUUCUCUAGUUCUCUCUCUAUUCCUUUUGAUCUUUCUCUCUCUAUUCCUUUGAUAUUGCUUGCAUACAUUCAUCUGUUAGUUGUUAGAUGAAUGUUAUCAUGGUAUCUUCGCCGAGGGUUCGAUCUCGUGGUGUGUAUUUCCGCUGUGUUGUGCCAAAAGAUUGUCUUGAUUGCUGUGCUGUGCUUUAGUGGGUUAAUGAGCUUUUGGCGUUUGGGAAGUCAGACUUCGAGUUUAUCAGGUGUUAUUUUUCUUUUUGCACUCCAAGUGUGUGUGUAAUUGUCGCAAUGAUGAAUCUUUUGUGAAAGACUAAAAGUUGAAGGCCGAUAGCCAUUUCUUGAUGUUUGGAAUAUGAUAUUGAAUGUCAAUAGCCAUUUCUUGAUGUUUGGAGUAUGAUAUUGAAGGCCGAUAGCCAUUUUUCUGAUUGAAUAAUUGUUGAAGCGUUUUCUGUCAAAGCAUAAAGGCCGAUAGCCAUUGCUUUUGUUUGAGUGUUUGUUGGGUUUUUUCACAAGAACAAGGCCGAUAGCCAGUAAUGUGUGUUCUUGGAGUUAUUAUACUUCUUGAAGAUUGUUUGAGUACUUGAUUUCUUGAUUCAGUUUCUAUCAACAAUAUGGCGUUUAGUUCUAUCAAAAUUGAAAGUCUUUUGGGCAUGAUCACUGUUAAGUUGAAAGAAGAUAAUUUUGUCAAAUGGGAUUAUCAGUUUCAAUAGGUGCUUAAGGGGUAUGAUUACUUUGAUUUCUUUAGUGGGGAGUCUCAGUGUCCUCCAAAGUUUGUAAUUAAUACUGAGACUGGGGUCACUAAAGAAAUUACUACUGCAUAUAAAGACUGGGUUAAAACAGAUGUCUCUCUAUUGAGUUUGUUGAUUGCUACACUUUCGGAUGAAGCUAUAGACUAUGUCAUUGGGUGUAAAACUUCUCAAGAAGCUUGGAAAUCUUUUCAGGAACGAUAUGCAUCUGUAUCUGUUGUCCGGGUUAAUCAACUCAAGACUGAGUUUCAUACUGUACAUAAAGGUGCAGAUUAUGUUGACAAGUAUUUGCUUCGAUUGAAGGUUAUCAAGGAUCAACUGGUUGCUGCAAGGGAGAGAAUCACUGAGAAUGAUUUGGUCAUUGCUGCUUUGUCUGGUUUACCUCCAGAGUUUGAAAUGAUCAGGACAGUAAUCUUAGCAAGAGACACUCUGAUUUCAAUGAAAGAUUUUCGAGCUCAACUAAUUGGGGCUGAAGGCAGUAUUGAGUCUCGACUGACAACUUUAUCAAGUUCUAUGGCUGCCAUGUAUGUUCAGGGCAAUGGCUCGAAUACACAGGGAUCUCAGGGAAAUACUCCAAGUUAUGAACAAUGGGAGAGUUCAAAUGCACAAAGGUCUCAAGGGAGGAAUAAUUACAAUAGUGGUAAUAACAACAGGAGGUAUAAUGGGAAUAAUUUCAACAAUCGAAAAUUCUCUGGUGGUUAUAAUGGUGGGAAUAAUAAUUACAGGCCAUAUUCUACUUUUGGGAAUAAUGGGAAAGGUGUUCAAAAUGGAGGUUCUCAAAGUUAUUUUUCUGGUAAUGGAAGCAAACAAGGAAACACUUGGAAUGGUGAUACAAAUUACAGAAAUGCUAUAUCUCCUGAAUGUCAAAUCUGCUAUAGAAGAGGUCAUACAGCACCAAAUUGUUACUUUGGAGCUGAUAACAAUCAAUCAUCUGGAGGGAUCUUGGUAUGUCAGAUAUGUGGGAAAAUAGGUCAUCGGGAUUUGGAAUGCUUUCAUAGAAAUAACUUCUCAUAUCAAGGCAGUGCACCACCCACAUCUCUUGUUAGGAUGGCUGCUCAAGGCUCAAAUGUUGCAACUGAAGACUCAAAUAUCCAUGGUUUUUCAGCUGCUGAUACAUAGGUAGUUGACACAAGUGCAACUCAACCACAUGACAUCACAUGUCGAAGUUUUAAAUCAUAUCACUCCUUAUAAUGGUGAUGCCACGAUCACUGUUGGUAAUGGAGAAGGUUUGGUGGUUAAAAAUAUUGGUUCUUCUGUUCUUAACACUCAACAAAAGUCACUCAUUUUGCAAAAUGUGCUACAUGUUCCACACAUUACAAUGAAUUUGUUGUCUGUUAAGAAAUUAUGCAGAGAUAAUAAUUGCUGGUUUGUAUGUGAUGAUCUGAUCUUCUUGAUACAGGACAAAGCAACUCGAAGGAUUGUGUACCAAGGCCAGAGUGAUGAUGGGGAGCUCUUCAAGAUACCAAUAACAGUGCUGUCGAGAUCCAGAGUACCAAGUAUUGAAAGAUGUGCUGCUUUUGUUAGAAAGAAGCUAAAGACUGCAGUUUGGCAUAAAAGGUUGGGUCAUCCAUUUGAAGAAGUGCUUACUGCAAUGUUGAAUAAGUCUAAAGUAUUAGCUAGUAUAGAUUUGUCUCCAUCUAUAUGUACUGCUUGUAUUCAAGGCAAAAUGACUAAGUUGCCUUUCUCUGUAAGUCCCGAUAGGUCAAAAGUUGUAUUUGAAAGGAUACAUUCAAAUAUAUGGGGUCAUUCACCGCAUAGGUCAAUAGAGGGUUAUAGGUAUUACAUAAGCUUUGUAGAUGACUGCUCUCAAUUUGUAUGGAUUUUUCAGAUGGUUAAUAAAUCCGAUGCUUUUCCAAUCUUUACCAAGUUUCUUACAUUUCUUGAGAAUCAGUUUAAUGCUUUUGUUAAAGUUCUUCAAUCAGAUGGUGGAGGUGAGUAUAUGAGUAAUGUGUUUAGACAGUUGUUGGAGAUAAAAGGAAUUAUACACCAAGUUUCAUGUCAUCAUACACCACAACAAAAUGGUCUUGCUGAACGAAAACAUAGACAUUUGGUUGAGAUUGCUAUUAGUUUGCUAUCAGAUGCUCAAUUACCUUCAGCAUUCUGGUAUCAUGCUUGUUUUCAUGCUGCAUUCUUAAUCAAUAGGAUGCCAUCUAGAACUUUGAAGAUGUAGUCUCCCUAUCAAGUUGUGUUUGGUUGUGUUCCUGAAGUGCAGCAUCUUAAAGUCUUUGGUACUGCAGUUUAUCCUCUAUUGAGACCAUUUAAUAAAAAUAAAUUGGAGCCAUGGUUAGCUCAAUGUGUAUUUCUUGGUUUUGCUCAUGGAUAUAAAGGAGUUAUUUGUAAUGAUAUCAAGACUAGAAAGUUCAUUCUGUCAAGGCAUGUAGUACAUGAUGAAGAUGUAUAUUCGUUUAAACAAGUUUUGCCAUCUAAGGAUUCUACACCUACAAAUAGGUGUUCUCAGACACUUGUUUUGAUUCAGUUACAAGUUCCAAGUGAAAAAGUCCUGCCUCAUACACACAUACAACAUGAUUCACAAGCAGCUAGUUCUAUACAUAUAUCAGCAAGUGAUACUGGUUCACAUCACAGUAUUCCUGUAAAUGGUGACAGUAUAAAUAUGGUUGGUGAAUUGAAUGUUUCUAGUUCGGACAAUACACAGGUGAUUCAACCUAGUGAUCAGGAUACAAAUUCGACUGAUACCACUACUCUACAUGCAUCUCCAAGCUCUUCCCAUCAUCACUCUGGUACACAAUCCUUGUUGCAUGUCCACUCCGAGUCACAACUUGAGGUAAUCCUUCCUGAUUUAUCUCCAUUUGAUCUCAUUUUACAUACUGCACCAUCGACUUACUCAAUGGUCACUAGAUUGAAGAGUGGAACAAUUGAGAGACAAAAUUAUGCUGCUUUAAUAGCACAAUGUCCUGAGCUUUGUUCUCUCCAAAUCACUAAUGAAGAACCUUUCACGGGUGGCUAUUCCUUUCUUUCUGAGAUCACUGAUGCUUCAGAACCGAAGACAUUUCGGAAAGCGGCUACUAAUCCACAGUGGCAAAAGGCAAUGCAGGAGGAAUAUGAUUCACUUCGAGCACAAGGAACUUGGCUAUUGGUUCCUGCACCUGAAGAUAGAACAAUUGUAGGAAGCAGAUGGGUGAAGUGAAGAAAAACCCCGAUGGCAGUGUCUCUGAUGUGAAAAUUACUUGACACACAAAUUAAACCCUAUUGAUGACAAUUGUAGCAAAGAUGUUAGUAGGGAUCGUUCUAAACCGGGAAUUAACUAGGGCUGCUAAUCUACUCAAAUUAAACUCUAAAACACUAAACUAGACUUAAAAACACAAGAAUAGACUCUAUAGACUCUAAACUGACCUAAGACACUCAAAUCUGCAAAACUAAGUGAAAUUGACUCAAUUCUAAACCUAACAAGUGAAUUGGACGAAAUUAAAACUUACUUUGACUCAAAAGAUUAAAAGAAAACAGAUUGUAACUUAACUAACUUAGAAAACACUUAAAAGACUCAAAACAGCACAAUACUAACAAUUAGACUCAAAACAGAUUCUAGAGAUGAAAUUGGACGAAUUUAAGACUAAACUAAGACCCAAACAAUGGUUAUGGACUAAACCUAACCUAUAUUGACUCAAAACACUCUAAAGAACCUAAUUAGGACAGAUUCUGACCUAAUAACAUAAAACAGAAAAGGGUGUUUGAUUUCUGACGAAAUUGAAUUAAAACUAAACAAAUUGCAAAUCAAAGUAAACUAAAACGAAAUUAAGAUGAAUUCAAGGGUGAAAAGCUAGUUAGAGGAUCCUUCUCCACACAUGAACAUAUGCAACAUAAAUCGAUUUCCAGUAUUGUUUCUUUAAACCAUGAACGACAAUGCCCCAAAUUAAUCGUGAAUGCACAAAUUAACUCUCAGAUUUCCCUAAAUUCAUUGAAUUGGAUGAAUGCAUGCAACAACCCAAAUUAUUCUUCUCAAGUUCCCUAUAUGAACAUCAUGAUAGAGAUACAUUCAAAGAUCAUUAAAUUCCAUGGAAAUCAUAAGCAUUGACAAGGCAAUUAUAACUAUGAACUGCAUGAUACUUUUGCCAAGAAUCUACUUAACACGAUUGUGACUAACAAUCUCCACUACUUGUAAUUAUAAGUUUCUAACGAUUAGGUGAAAGUCCCUUAUAAUUUAGCAUCAGAUUCAAGCAUGCAAACUAAGUAGGCCUCCUUAAUCAACACACAAGAAUAAGUUAUCAAUCAAAUAGAUAAGUAAAUCGCAUUCAUGUUUUACGAAACAAUAACUGAAAGGAAUCAAUUCAUAUUAACAUAUGUCCAUGGCUUCAAAUUCACCACUAACUAAUAAGAGUUUAGUUCCACAUGUUCAUAACAAUUGAAACGCAAAUUAAAAUAAACAUCGAAACUGAAACGAGGGAAGAAAAAACUAUGAAAACUCCCAAGGAUGCAGAUGGCUUGCGCACAAGGCCCUCCUUCAUCAAUGGAAUGCACGACAAGGUUCUCCUUCUUCUCCAAAAGGUGCGGCAGAGAUGUAUAUGGAUGUAGGAUGGUGUUUUGUGAUGUAGAAUGGUGAUUAGGGUUGCGGCAAGGUGUUUCUGAAUGGUGAAGGGUGGUGACAAAUUUAGGCCUUAAAAACACAUAUAUAUAGGCAUGGCAAAGCUAGGGUUUUCACAAAAUUUGAUGGGAAAAGGUUAGGGUUUUGGAGAUAAAAGGCUUGGCCCAUUCAAAGGAGAAAAGAAUUAGGGUUUUAUGCAGAUUCCUAGGCUUCUAGAACACUAGGUGCGGCACAACCCUAGGGUGGAUGGACUAGGGUUUAAAUUUAGCAGAAAAUAAAGGAUUAGGGCCCUAGGGUGCGGCAUGGGCUUAGAACAAAGCUGAAAAAGGAUUAGGAAACUUCAAAUUCAAGAGUAGAAACUUUCAAGAAUGGAAACCUCCAAGAAUAGCAACUUCCAACUUUAGAAACUUUGGUUUCCAAUUCUGAACUCUUUGCUCUUCAUGUUCAUUUCUUCAUUUCUUCCCUCCUUUGAUCUUCAAUUUCGUUCAUCCCUUUGGCUCCAAGCAUGUGAUAUCCAUUUUAUGCUCAAAACUGCUUCAAAAGGCUCCAAAUUGCACUUUCUCGCCAACUUUGUCAUUUGGACCUAAAAACACACGAAAAUAGCUUAAAACACUAUAAUAACCACAAACUAACUAUAAAAGUGCAAGAAAACAAGCUAACUAAGUUGCAUAAAUAUGCUCCUAUCAGUCUCCCAGUAUAAAGCAAGGCUUGUAGCUCAAGGGUUCUCCCAAGAACAUGGUAUUGACUACUUGGACACAUUUAGUCCUGUUGUUCGACAUACUACUGUAAGGAUUAUUCUUUCUUUAGCUGCCAUGAAUCAUUGGACUCUUCGACAAUUAGAUAUCAAGAAUGUUUUUCUACAUGGAGAUUUACAAGAAGAAGUUUAUAUGCAGCAACCACAAGGGUUUAUUGAUCCAUCAUAUCCUUCUCAUGUUUGCAAAUUGGUCAAGUCAUUAUAUGGCUUGAAACAGGCUCCACGCGCGUGGAAUUCAAAGUUUACAAGUUAUUUGACAGUUAUGGAGUUUCAUGCCUCAGCUUCUGAUACAAGUUUGUUUGUCAAGAAGGAUGACUCUGAUAUCAUCAUCUUAUAACUUUAUGUUGAUGAUAUCAUCUUAACUGGUUCUAAUCCUUUGAAGAUCCAAAAAGUGAUUCAAGAAUUAUCUGAGGUAUUCGAGUUGAAGGAUAUGGGACAGCUUACAUAUUUUUUGGGUUUACAAGUUCAAUAUAAAGCGGAUGGCAGUGUUUUUGUUAAUCAGUCUAAGUAUAUCAAAGAUCUUGUCCAUAAAGCAGAUAUGGAAUCGUGUAAACCAGCAACCACUCCGUGUAAACCUCAUCAUCAAAUGUUACACUCUGAGGGACAAUUGUUGACAUAUCCAACUUCCUAUAGAAGCAUUGUGGGAUCUUUACAAUAUCUGACCUUUACUAGGCCUGAUAUUGCCUUUGCUGUAAACACAGUAUGUCAGUUUAUGUCCUCACCAACUGAUGUUCAUUUUGGCGUUGUUAAACGCAUCAUUCGUUAUCUUCAAGGAACCAUGAAUAUUGGUAUUACUUUUUCUGCAAACACAGUUUCAAAGCUUACUGUGUUUUCUGAUUCUGAUUGGGCUGCAGACUUGAAUACUUGUCGGUCUAUCACUGGUUAUGUUGUGUACUUAGGCAAUAAUCCAAUUUCUUGGCAAUCGAAGAAACAAAACUCGGUAUCCAGGAGUUCUACUGAGGCUGAAUAUAAAGCCUUAGCACAUACUGCUGCAGACAUAGCUUGGAUUCGCAAUAUAUUGAAGGAUUUGGAUGUACUUUUGGAUGCUCCACCAACAAUUCACUGUGACAAUAUGUCCGCUAUUGCCUUAAGUGCCAAUCCGGUGUUUCAUUCAAGAAUCAAACACCUUGAUACAGACUACCAUUUUGUACGCGAACGAGUGCAGCAAGGCGAUCUGGAGGUGUUGUAUAUCCCAACUGAGGAGCAAACUACCGAUGUUCUUACCAAAGGUCUUCACAGUCCUUCACUUGUCAAACAUUUUUACAAUCUCAAGCUGGAAAAUCCCGGUUGAGAUUGCGGGGGGAUGUUGAAGAUAUAUAGUGAUUGACACAUCAUCAUAAGUGCCACAUCAGCUAUUGGAGUUAGUUAGUUUGUUAAGAAUCAGUUACACAGGUGGCUUAGCUGAUAAGCUACAUGUGCAGACUAUAUAAAGGAAUCAGGGGUCUUUUGUAUCUCUCUUCAUCCUUAAUGAAAUAACAAAACUUUUACUCAUUUCUUUCUCUAGUUCUCUCUCUAUUCCUUUCGAUCUUUCUCUCUGUAUUUCUUUGAUAUUGCUUGCAUACAUUCAUCUGUUAAUUCUUAGAUGAAUGUUAUCAUUUACAUCCUACACCAUGCUAAUAAUAUCCACCAAUUCUCUAUUUUAUUUAAAAAUAAAUAAAAAAUAUAUAUGAGGUAACGCAAGCUCUAGCUAGGUUUCAAGUCUACCAUGUUUAUUUUGUAGCAAGCAAGUGGAAUUAAUUAAGAAAAAUUUCAGUUUGGGUUAGGAGGAUAGAGGAGGGUGAUUAAUAUUACCUUUGGUGUAUUUCCAGACUUCACAGAGCCCGAAGUUUCCCAGUCCCCUUCAUUUACUGCAACAUGGUGGUACAGUAUCAGAGGCUCGGGAAUGUACACGUGGUGCUGGUUGCUAAUGACUUUGUACAAACGAUUUAUCAGCGUUCGCUUUGAACCCCCCAGUCUCCAGCUUGUAAUCACCAGCUCCACUCACAGCCAUUUUUUAUAAAGGAAAUUAAUGAAAAUGAUUCGAAAAUUUUGAAUUUUAACUAUAAUAAUAAAUAAAUGGUAAAGUAAAUAGUACCAUGAUUGAUUUUUAGUGUAAAUAUAUUAUUUUUCCUUAAAAUAAACAAUAUCAGAAGUUUUUCGUUCAAAUUCUCUUUUUUUUAAUUAGUAAUUAAUAUUAAAGUUCAUCUAAGAUUAUUUUUUAAAGGAGAUAUAUAUUAAAAGUAUCAAAUAGAAAAACAAGACAGCAUCAUUUAAAAAAAGGAAAACUAAUGAAAAUUGCUUGAAAACUUUGAGUUUUAACGAUAAAGACAAAAUAAAAAGUAAAGUAAAUAGUACCAGGUUUGACUUUUUAAUGUAAAAAUGUGGUUUUUCGUUAAAGUGAACAAUAUCGCUGGUUUUUCGUUAAAACUCCCUUCAAAAAAAGGGAAAGGGAUCAUUUUCGGAUUUGUUCUACCUAAUCAUCCUCAUCAAAUAAUCCGAGCUUUUAAAAUUUGAUCUAACGGCUAAAGUUAUUAUAACUUUUAGAAUUAGCCCGUAUUUUUAACCGUUUAAUCAAAUUUUAAUGAUCUGAAUUAUUUGAUGAUGAGAAUUAGAUAAAAAAGAUUGAAUGAUCGCUUUUCCAAAAAAGGAAAAAGAAAAACAAGACAGCAAGUUUCUUUUAACAGAUGAAUUUUAUUAGAGGUGGAACUGGUGUCCAACAUCCCAGGUGUUUUCUGAUAGCAUAACCCAAUAACGUCAAAUCCAUUAAUUUGAUUAUUUAAUAAAUGGCUCCCACAAUAGGAUUUGGAUCCUCUCCGAGGCAAUUGGUCGGAUCCUUCUGAUCAAUGUUUGUGGACUGUUAGAUUUUUAUUCAACGACUAUAAAUAAGGGGACAUUCUAAAGUUAUAAUAAUUGUAGUCGUUGGAUAAAAAUUCAACGGUCCAUAUACAUCGAUCUGGAGGAUCCCGACUCGAAGAGGAUCCAAAUCCCCCACAAUACACCAAUCACGUACCCCACCCAACCAAUUUACACAAUUUUUAACAGUAGGUCCCACAAUAUAUAAGAAAAAAGAAAUUUGACUCAUCAUUUGAAAAAAUAAAAAAAAAUUAACAUUUAACUUCAAAUACUCAUUUUAGUCAUUAAAUAAAAUUUAACAAUUUAUAAAUGAGUAAUGUUAGAGAAGCUAAUUUUUUAGACUAAAUUUUAUAAAUUAUAUGUAUUUGUUAACGAUUAAAUUAUUAUUUAAGUGUUGCUUAAUGUUUAUAUAGAGCCACAACCCACAAAGUCCUAGACAAAUAGCAUGUUUUAGUUAUGGAGGCAGUUGUGGUGGAUAUGAUCUGAUCACUUGAAGAAAAUGACGAGUCUGCGGAUCCUUGUGCAUCUUCAUCUUUGACAUGGGAGGUUUUAUGACUAGACCUACCAAAUUUAAUCACAACAGCGAACUUGAUAAUGAGACAUCAAUAAUUCAACGAUUCAGAAAACUUCAAUUAAAUUGGGACCCAUAAAUAAAUAUGCUAUUACUUCUUUUGUAAUCAAAGCUGGAUCAUUGAUGCCUAAUUCAGAAAGAGAAGUGUUAUUGGCACUUCAAAAGUCUCAUUGUACACUCUUUACAAGUGUAUUUUUCUUUCUUAAUAUAGAAAAUUUGGAGUGUAGAAUAAGAUUUUUGAAAUGCUACUAACAAUUCCCUUAAAAAAAAAAAAGGUUUUUAUGUUUUGCAUGCAACAUUUGGACACAGGAAUAUUCUUUGGGAUUCUAAUUGCGCAUACGUAUUAUCUUUCAAAUAUAUAAAAUUUGAAGUGCAAUUAAAUUUUUAGAAUGUAAAUAAAAGGGGAAACUUGAUAUAACUUCAAUUUUUUGAGCCAAUAGUAAGAAUAGUCCAAUUUAUUAAAAUAAGUCCAAUUCUUUAAAUUUAAUUAUUUUAUUAUCAAUAAUUAUCUCUUAAAAGAAAAAACUUAUUGUAAAAAUCAAAUUUCUUCCUAAUUAUCUCUUUGAUUAUUUCUUUUUAUUUAUUUAUUUGUUAUUUCUUGUUCUUCCUCCUGCUUUAACCCAUUUAUAGAUUUUUUUAAAUUUUUAUAAUCAACCUAUAUCAUAGGUUAAUUGUAUUUAUCUACCUAUAUGACAUAUUCUCUUUCAUAGUCAACAUGUCACAUAUUAAUGUGUCUUGCUUGUAGGUAUAUUAUAUUUUUUUCUACUUUUUAGUUAGGUUUCAUAUCUCACUUAUAGGUAUAAUAUACAUUCAUAUAUUUGCUACUUGAGUUAGGGUUUACUGUUUUGCAGAUAGAUUUAUGUUAGUAUAUUAAUUUUUUUUUGUUUAUAAGAUAUUAGUUAGAUAUUUUGGAGUUGAAAAAUGCAUAAUAUUAAAAUAUUUUAAUUGAUUUUUAAUAUUUUUAGAAAAUAUAAAAGGAGUAUAAAAGAAAUAAAAACAUAUAAUUAGAUAACUGGAGUCACUUCUAAAAACACUCUAUGUUUUUUGACCUGGAUCUAAAAGCCCCUAAAUAAAAUUACCUUCUUUUAUUGGUUUUUUUUUAAGGCUCGCAAAAAUGGUUGUCUUUGUUGUUUGGCGAAGGAACUUCAUGGAUAUCAUCAUAUUGUGGUCUUCUUUUUCACUUGUAUUGCUAAAAAAUAACUAAUUACAAAUCAAUUUUCAUCAAAAGGGUUGUUAAAUAAGAUAUUAAUUAAUGCUAUUUUUUUUCUUGAUACUGUUUGGGUCUCUCAACCUCGAUCUAUUAUUUUGCAUUUUAUUUCUUCCAUGAUCAUAUGUGUCUCCAUUGUUUAACAACAACUAAAAAUACUAUUGUUUCUUUAAAAAAAGUACUAUGUAUUUGACUAAGGCGAUUUUAUAUGACGAUGAGCAACAAAGUGGAGAUGGUGCACUACACCUUUUAUUUUGCAUACCAUAGUUCAUACAUUACAAUCUCACAUAUGAUAUCCCUUCACGUACAUUUGUUACAAGGCAACUUACAAAGCAAAGCAUUUUAAUUACUUGUAAUCAAGCAAAAGGCACGCAUUAUUAACACAAAUAUUAUAUACUAACGAUGGACGUCACACUGUUUCACCAUUGCAUUCUUUUCCUUUCCUUAAUUUAUCAUGCCUUGAUAAAGUGAGCAUCAAGAUCCUUGACGAUGUUAACCAUCAAACCGACGUAUUUGUCCGGACUGCAACAUCCUCAGUCAGUUUCUCAUAUUCAGUCGACAAUUUUGCAAUGUUGUCUUCAUUCUUUUGAGUGAAUUGAUAGACUGGCUUGAAGCUCUUGUAAUACUGGAAGACAUCUCCUUUCAGUCCAUUCAGUGUUAUGGAUUUGUUCUCGUUGUUUGACUACACUUUUUCCUUGAAUACUCGAACUUCGUCCCCUAUGUAUUCACAAGAAAGUGGUCUCUAUAUUGACCAAGGAACAAUAUAAAGGGAGCGUUUGAUAAAUAAUUUGUUUUAAGUUUUCACAAAAAUGAAAAUUGAAGUUAUUUUUGUCAGUUUUCUAAAUUUAUAUUAGUAAUUUUUAUUUUUUGAAGACUGAAAUAACAUGAGAUGGUUGAAUUAUUGCGGCACACCUCGAUUCUUUACCAACAUAUUUUGUUCUAAUUAUCCAUUAUAUCAAUAUAUAUUUUUCACGUAUGGGUUAAAAGUUGUUCGCUUGUGAAUCAGGGUUUAGUUAUUGCGAUCCUUCUAGUAUUGCUGGAUUAUGAUUAACAUAUAAUUGUGUUCUGAUCUUAGAGAAAAAAGGUACAUACCAUGUUAAAUACAUGAAGGUAUUUAUAUAUAAAUAUAGAGCUCGUUUGGAUGUGCUUUUAAAAUGGUUAAAAACACUUUUAGAGAAAGAAAAAAAUUUGUUCCAAAAGCACUUAAAUUGCUUUCUGCAAGAAGCAACAGUUAUGUGCUUUUCCAGGAAGCACUUUAAAUGCUUUUCCAGAAUUAACUUACAUUUUUACCAAGGAUUGGUUUUAAAAACAUUUUCACAAAAAAUGUUUUCAAUCAUUUUAAAAACAUAUCUAAACAAACACAUAUAUUAUGCACGUAUACUGAAAUUCCAACUUUUGAUAGAUCGAGCCAUGAGUUUCCUCCUUCAUGCACGUGAACUCCCUGGAUACUUCCAGAAUAAAUUUUUGGGACGUGUGGCGAGCCUGGCUAUUGAAGAUAUUGUAGAACUUCUCAGCAGGUGCCUUAAUUUCAAUCUCUGUUCGUGCAGAGUCAUGUUUAUGAUCAGUUGGGAUGGUGCUCAACAAUGCGUCGCCAAGGCCUGUUCUAAAGAAAACUUAAGGUCACCCCUCUACUGCUACAGUUAAAUUAUGCAAUAUUAAUUUAUGCUAUAACUUUGAAAAAGUAGUGCUUCGAACGAUCGCAUGAAAAACAUUCGUUUAUUAAAAAAAAGGUAAAUCGUCAAAAUGGUCCUUGAGAUUUGUAUAACUUAUCACUUUGAUCUCUAAGAUUCCAAAUCGAUAAAAGUAGUCCCUGAGAUUGUCUACCAUCCAUCAUUUUGGUCAUUCGGUUAAAAAAUCCGUUAAGUGUCCCGGAGCUCUUAGCCGGAGGUUUGGACAAUUUUCAAAACUUCGUAACUCAAUCGUUUCUUAACCAAAUUUGACCCAUAAUAUAUCAAAAUGAAGAUAGGAAAGUGUAGAAUAAGAUUAUACCUAUUUCAAAGCCCAAUGGUUGCCGAAGAUUGUCAGAAAAUAGCCUCAAAGUUGACUGGUUCGAGUGAAAACUUGAAAACUCGCUGGAAACUGAGUAAACUUUAAACGUUCAUAACUUCUUCAAUACUCAACGAAAUCAAGUGAUUCAAAAACAAAAAUCAUACUUCUCGAUGAGAUGAAGAGAAUGAUACCUUUUUAGAUGGCUAAAUCGUCGUGGUUUGGCCGGAAAGCAGCUCGAAAGUGGCUAACUCGAGACCAAGAUAGCCACUUUCAAGCCGUUUUCCGGCCAAACCACGGCGAUUUAGUAGUUAAAAAAGGUACCAUUCUCUUUGUCUCAUCGAGAAGUAUGAUUUUCAUUUUUGAAUCACUUGAUUUUGUUGAGUAUUGAAGAAGUUAUAAAGGUUUUGAAGUUUACCCAGUUUCCGGUGAGUUUUCAAGUUUUCACUCUGACCAAUCAACUUUGAGGCUAUUUUCUGGCAAUCUCUGGCAACCAUUGGGCUUCGAAAUAGGUAUAAUCUUAUUCUACACUUUCCUAUCUUCAUUUUGAUAUAUUAUGGGUCGAAUUUGAUUAAGAAACGAUUGAGUUACGAAGCUUUGACAAUUGCCCAAACUUCCGGCCAACAGCUCCGGAACACUUAACAGAGUUUUUAAUGGAAUGACCAAAAUGAUGGAUGGUGGACAAUCGCAGGGACCACUUUUAUCGAUUUGGAAUCUCAGGGACCAAAGUGAUGAGUUAUGCAAAUCUCAUGGACUAUUUUGACGAUUUAUCCUUAAAAAAAAUUCAGAUAAAGAAAAUGAGAAAUUAAUUUCUCAUCCCUCUUUUUUCUAUUACAUUGAUUAAAAUCUUAUUUUUGAUCAAGGUCCUAACUUUCAAUGAACGUCAUUAUUUCUGUUAUAAAUUAUUUAUAUAUCAACAUAAUUAAAUUUUAUUUUUGAAAUAUAUUCAAUUAGUAUUAGAAACAUUACAUUUGGUACAUUUAUAUUUAUCAUUAAACUUUGUAUCAUAUAUUUCUAUUUUUAGUUUGUACCAUUUUUAAUUGGCAACCCUUUUUUAAUUUGUAUCAAUUUUCUUUUUAAUUUUAAUGUGUACCGAUAUAUUAAUUUCAUUUUGUGCCCAUAAUUUUUUUUAAAUUUUUUUAUACUCAUAAUUCAUUUAUAAUGUACCCAUAUUUCAUUAAAACUCUUUUUUUUUCUUUAUAAAUGUACCACUUUGUUAUAUGUAAGAUGUACCAAAUUGUUUUUUUUGUAAAUGUACCAUUUUUAUGUAAAAUGUUCCCAUAUUUAAUGUAAAAUCUAUUUAUUUUUUUAUUAAGAAUGUGUACAUAUUUAUAAUAAAACGUUCCCCUUUUCAAUUUUUUUGAACACUAUGGGUACAUUUGUUUGACAUUUAUUAUUUCAAAGGUAUAUUGUUACCUAUUUUUAUCUAUUUAUUCAAUCAAAAUUUUUGAGUAUUUUUUUUAUUGUAAUCGUUUUUAAUUUAUAUGCUAUAUAAUAUGGGAUUUUAAAUCUCAUAACAUGUCAAGUAAUUAAUAUCAAACAAUGAAAAUACAUAUUAAUAGCCAUAAUGAGGUGUACCUUUAAAGUCAAGGGACUUUGAUAAAAAAUUGAAUACUAUUAAAGGUUUAGUCAAAUAAUGUUAUUGACUAGGGACUGAAUCCAAAGUCUCUCUAAAAAAUAUAUAUAUAUAUAUAAGACAAACGUACGUAAUCACUUUCGGUUCGAUUAAGAACAUGAUUUGGAUCAAUAAUAUUAGGGUGCUAAUAUUGAUAUCAUUAGAUUUCAAUUACUAAUCACUGGUUUUUUUGCAAUAUUAUACUUUUACUCAACUACCACAUUUUUUCCCUUCUGGAUGUAUGAAAAUUUAGGUAUUGCGUUCGUUCUUUUUUGAGAAGUCAUCGCCAACUCCCUUGCCCUACUAUUUUUAUCAAGGAAAAACUCCCCAUGUUUAAAAGCUGUAUAAUUAACCAGGAUGAAUGCUGGACAACUGUCGAAAGCAAAACUCAAAGUUCAUUGUAUAAUUAUAACAGUGAGACUACAGCCUGACGAAGAACAUGAUUGUCAAAAGUUAUAUAAAAAAAAUGAUAUCAGAGUAAAUCUCCAAUGAAUCGGAAAGUGAGUCUUUAAAAUAUAGAGUCUUAAGUGGAUUAGUGUAGAAUAUCUUUUGUACUAAAAAAAAAGUUAUGUAUAUAAUGUUGAGAAUGAAUCCCACAUUGAUAGGAGGAGUGAUAAGGAUUUUUAUCACCUGCAAAUAUAAGGAUAAAAACACUUAAAAAUACUUGCAAAAGUACAAGGUUGUCGUAGUAUAGCAGUUCAAGCAAGGUCAUUUUUCACAGGAAUUGAAUGCAUAGUUUAUGUUUAUACUAAUUCUUAGCUAAUUAUUUAGAACAAAGAUUGGAAAAGGUUGAUUUUGAAUUUAAAAAUAAUAAAAACGAAUUUAAUUAAAAACAAUUAAAGGAAUUUACUAGAGAACAAUUUAAAGAAAGUCAAUUUGUAAAGAUUAGGGUUCCGCCGUUCCCUUAACAAUCCUACGCAAUUUUACCAAUUACUUAUGAAUUUCCACACACAUGCUUUGAAGGUUAGGUUUUCCUAAUGCAUAUUUUUCUCGUGAUGUUCAAGCGAAAACAUAAAUCUAACAUGCAACCCUUUUGUAAUGUUCAGAUCAAAUAUAAACAUGCAAGACUCAUUAAGCUUUGUGAAAACCCUUUGAAAAACCAUGGAACCCUUAAGAGCGUGAUGUUCGCCUUAAGUGAACUUACAAUUACUAAUCAUAAGAAGCCCUCCUCAAUUUCAGGGUGAUGUUCUGUCACAUCCCGGCAUCGUGCUAGGUAGAUAUGAGAAUAUACAUAUAAGGAUCACUCCCCUGGGCGAUGUGGGAUCUUACAAUCCACCCCCCUUAGGGGCCUGACGUCCUCGUCGGCACACCACAACCAGGGUUAGGCUCUGAUACCAAAUAGUCACAUCCCGACCUGGGCCCCCAUCACAUCCCGGGCUCGACUCCACCGUAGCACGAUAUUGUCCGCUUUGGGCCCCGACCACGCCCUCACGAUUUUGUUUCUGGGAACUCACACGAGAACUUCCCAGUGGGUCACCCAUCUUGAGAAUGCUCUCGCGCGAACUCGCUUAACUUCGGAGUUCUUAUGGAACCCGAAGCCAGUGAGCUCCCAAAAGGCCUCGUGCUAGGUAGAGAUGAGAAUAUACAUAUAAGGAUCACUCUCCUGGGCGAUGUGCGAUCUUACAUGUUCCAACCGAAAUUGCAUCAAAUUACUUGUCUAAAAAUCCUAAUGGUCGCAAAUUACUAAGACAAUUAGAUAGCUUUAAUCGCAAUGAUUAAUAAUUCAAAGCAAGCAUGCAUCCAUUCAUAAGGAAAUUAAUAAAAUCACAUAUUCAUGCUAAGGCUCAUGGCUUCGCCCUAGCAAACAGAAAUUAGUUACGAACUAUAAAAACUAAAGAAAAUAUAUUAACUAGAAAAAGGAUUGAAAACACCUUGUAGGUAAAAAGUCUGAAAUUCUCCAAAAUAAUGUGUGCCUUCUCCCCCUAACCUUAAUGGCUAAAAAGCCUUAUUUAUACUACUCCAAAUUAAAACCCUCAUAGAAAAGGUUUUCUAAAAACUAGGAAAUAAAAUAACAAAAGGAUAACUAAGAAUUGCAUUCCUAUUAUGACUAUGAAAUCUGCCCAUAAAAAAGAUAGCCAUGUUUCUGGAUCUUCAGGGUUCCAAAACAGACCCAAAAUGGCUAGAAUUAAAGAUUAGGACCUCCUCUUCAAGUUAGAAGAAGAACCCAAGUCCAAAAUCCAUCAUCUUCCAACCCAAAAGUCACAAAUAAGCUCUGCAGCCCAAUCUGCCAGCACUGCACGCUGGGCAUAAAUUAAUUCACCACGAUCUGAUGCUUUGAGAUAAAAUUAUGAAAUUCUGAUACAAUCUUCUUGACAGACUCACGAACCCACUCCAAUUGGAAUCACUAAAAAAUUCCACCGUUUGAGUACUUUAUGAUCAAAACAAGUUCGCAUGUCCUACAAUAAAAACAUAGAGCAAAGCCUCAAAAUCUCACUAAAAUAAUAACCAAAAUAUACCAAGAAUAGGGAAUAAUAUAUAGUAUAAAAUUGACUCAUUAGGACAUUGCAUGAACUUAUAAGUAAGUUGGGCUACUUUCUAUAUUGCCAAUUGGUUUUAUGGUGUAACCUUAACUUUCUUCAUACCCAUGUGUGAAGCCAAAAGACCACGCACGCUCCAUGUCACCCAUUUGUGUUGUUCACGUAUUAGACUUGAAAAUUCGCCACACGUGAGGGCGCGUAUUAAGAAUGAAUCUCACAUUAAUGGGAGGAUAAAUCUUGCAUGCACCUAUAAGUAGGUUGAAAAACAAUAUUGGACAAAUAUUGUAGAGUACACCACAUUUUAUUUUAUAGAUGCGAUCGACAACCAUAAUCUAUUACAUCACAAUGUCAUAUAUGACAUCCUUCGUACAUCUUUUACAAUACACACAAACCUAAUUAAGAAAAGCAUUUUAUUUAAGUAGGUACGCAUUGAUGAACAUAUGCAUGCAUGAUUACAUAUAAUUGAACCCUUUUUAACAAGACCAGCAAAAGCUCUUUCCAACCGUUGCAUAUGACGUAUGGUUUUUAUUCAUUAAUUAAUUAAUUUAUGCUCCCAGAAGGUGAGCGUCAAGAUCCUGGACGAGUUUAACCAUCAAACCGACAUAUCUAUCUGGAGCUUUAACAUUCUCAUGCAGUUUCUCGUAUUCGAUCCACAGGUUGGCAAUGCAGGUGCCUUCAUCUUUUUGAGUGAAUUUAUAGACACCCUUGAAGCUCUUAUAAUACUUGAACACUUCUCCUUCCAAUCCUUUCAGAGUUGCGGCUUGUUCCCAUCGUCUAGCUCCACCUGUUCCUUGAAUAUCCCGACAUGAUCCCCUAUAUAUAUGCAUGCAUGCAUUCAUGGUUAAUUUCAUAACAACAAAAUAUAUAAACUUUCUCACCCUCUCUUAUUAGGAUCUUGUUUCCACUGUAGCAAAAAGGGGGCAAUAUGACUUAUUUAGGAAACAUGUAUUUACUGUAUAUGACUCUCAUUGUCUAGAACAAAAAUUGAAGGAAGCAUUGAAAUAUAUAUAAGAGGUCAUAUAUGGUAAAUACAUGAUUUCUACGAUUGUUCUAUCUCGACCUUGUUUUUGCUACAAUAAAUCAGAAUUUCUGCGAAAAAGCUGUAAACAUUGAAACUCGUGCUAUGAACGUAUGAUGAUUUGAGCGCAUCUGUUAAGGUAUACAUACAUAUAAAGUGAAUAAUUAAACAGGAAAAUUGAAUUAAGUAGCGGUACCUAGUUCAUAUUUCCAAAUCUUAACAGAGCCGUGUGUUUCCCAAUCUCCUUCAUGCACAUCAACUCCUUUGAUAUGGGUAUUAGAGAUGUUUGGGAUGAGGUGGGCGCUCUUGAACAUGUUGUACAACUUGUCAGCUGGUGCCUUAAUUUCUAUUUCAGUCCCAAUUUUACCAUGCAAAACCAUGUUUAUGAGCAGUUUUGAUGGGUGCUACUCAGAAAUUAUAAGAGAAGAAUGUUAAAGGAUAUGUAUAAUUUGGGCUCCUACCCUCCUUAAAUAGAAGCGACUAGAGUUAAAUUGCGAGAUAAAACUUAAUAUAUCCGGAACACGAUACAGUACGCCAUAUAUAUAUAAUAUGUAAUAUAAAUAUGGAGGGAAAGUUUUUUUUUUUUUUUUUUUUUUUUUUUGCAAGUGUUUCUCUACUUGUGUAGACGUAUGUACCCGUGUUCUAGAUAUUAAAAAUUCUCCCGUAAUAUUUUAAUAGUGGGUAAUCCAAUUUAAAAACCAAAUCAUGCAACACGUGAUAAAGAUUAAGUCAUAUAUUUUUUAAAUCAUACUUCUCGGAUAAUUGGAAUCCUAUGAAGUAAUGAUCACAAGUUCACAAUAUGCAUGGAUAGAUGAAGGGUUUGCUCAUGAUUAAUGUUAGGGAGACCAAAUUUCUAAAUCAAAAUUUGUAAACAAAAUAAUGUGGAGGUAAAUGAUUGAAUUAUUAUUUAAGUGUUAAUUAAUAUGCUUGUUUCUUAUUAAUAACAUAUCAUUUGAUUUGCAUUCACGCAUGCGAUAAAGAUUAGAUUAGUACGAUCACACUAAAAAUUUAUAUGUAAAUGUUUUAAAAUAAAAUGUAAUUUAUCUGCAAAAUGUUUUUUUUUUAAAAGGUACGAUAUUCUUUAAUAACAAAUUUAUACGUACAUCAAUGAGGAUAGGGUGUAAACAAAUGGCCUCGAUAAAAACCUUGCCGGGGUUUUUAACCCGAUCGAAGAGAGAUUUUUCAAUGUGACCGUCACACAAGGAGGUACACCACGUGUCUCUAUGUAAAUGGUUAGAUAUGUGUGUUAAAAGAUUAAUAACUUAAAAAUUAAAAUUUUCCACCACUUACAUAAAAAUACGUGGUGUACCAUCCGUGUUCCUGUCACAACUAAAAAUUUUCCCCGGUUGAAGGGAAAAAGAGUGUCCCACACCAACAUAAUUAAUUAAGAAUUGCUAUCCUAAAAAAGAAGAUCAAGAAUUACAUUAGGAAGUUCCUCAGACCAAACCACACAUUGUUACCAUAACUCAAGCUCAUACGUGCUAGCCUGUGUGCCACCUUGUUCGUCUCCUUUUGACUAAAUUCAACCUUCCACUUGGACAAUGAAUGAAUAAUUGCGUGUGUCGUUUAGAAUGUUUCCAAAGUGUGAGGUGUCAAUACUUCCUUCUGCAAAAUGUUUUAGAAUAAAAAGUUUUAUAUCUUGUAGGAUCACAUCUAUUUAUUUAUUAUCAUUAUUAUAUUUUUGGAAAGAUCGAUACGUAUGGGCCAUGGCGUCUGGUUCUUUUGUUAAAAAGCCAUCAAAUGGGGAGGCAUGGAUGAGGUAUUAGGUAUCCACAAAUGUCAGUUCACAAAAUAUUAUACUAAAAGUAAUUGAAAAGAAUCAAACAAAUAUUAAUUCUUUUCCCAAGAUAAUCCACUAAAAUGAGGGUCCACAACAUAGUUUUUCGGGAACUUUAACGAAAAACACCCGGUACUGUUCACUUUAACGAAAAACCACAUUUUUACACUAAAAAAUCAAUCCUGGUACUAUUCACUUUACCCUUUAUUUUGUCCUUAUCAUUAAAGCUCAAAGUUUUCAAGCCCUUUUCAUUAAUUUUCCUUAGUUUUUUCCACUAGAGUUUAUUGAUCCUUGAAGACUAUCAUUGACGAUUGAUCAUCCAACAGGUGCAUUAUUUAUUUUUUAACAAACGGUAAUAGUUACUAUUUCUUGAAUUGGAUAGGGGUAUCGAUACUAUUUCUUAAAUAAAACAUUAAUACUAUUAUUAUUCUUAAACUGAAUACUGGCACUAUUACUAUUUUUUAAACUGAACAUUCAUUAUUUCUUAAACCGAGCGCUGGUACUAUAACUAUUUCUUAAACUGAACAUUCAGUAUUUCUUAAACUGGACAUUCACUAUUUCGUAAACUGAACACAAAUAUUAUUACUAUUUCUUAAACUGAAUAUUCAUUAUUUUGUAUACUGAACACGGAUAUUAUCAUUAUUUCUUAAACGUAACACUAAUAUUAUUACUAUUUCUUAAGCUGAAUACUGACUAUUUCUUAAAUUGAACAAUAACUAUUUUUAUAAUUGAAUACAAGCACUGUCCCUAUUUCUUAAACCAAAAAUAGUGAAUUAGGGUUUAGUUAUUACGAUAUAUUACUGGAUUAUGAUUAACAUAUAAUUGUGUUCUGGCCUUAGAGAAAAAAGGUACACACCAUGUUAAAUACAUGUAGGCAUUUAUAUAUAAAUAUAUAUUACAUACGUAUAUAAUUCCAACUUUUGAUAGAUCAAGCCAUGAGUUUCCCAGUCUCCUUCUUGCACCUGAACUCCCUGGAUACUGCCAGAACAAAUUUUUGGGACGUGUGGCGAGCCUGGCUCUUGAAGAUGUUGUAGAACUUCUCAGCAGGUGCCUUAAUUUCGAUCUCAGUCUCAACCUUACCGUGCAGAGUCGUGUUUAUGAUCAGUUGGGAUGGCACUCAACAAUGCGUACAAGGCCUGUUCUAAAGAAACUUAAGGGCAGCCCUUUUCUGCUACAGUUAAAUUAUACAAUAUUAAUUUGAGGUAUUCAUCAAUUUACCUCCUAACUUAUAAGAAUUGGUCAAUUUUCCUUAUCAACUUUCAUAAUUAAUCAAUUUGCACCAUACUAUUAAUUUUUUAAAAUUUUUCAUCCUUUCUUCUGUUAAGUAUGUCAAGUGUUAUCCGCAUGACUGCCUUUAAAGGGUAAAAAGGUCAUUUUACCUACACCUUCCGUCUUCUUUCUCUUCUCCGAACUUUCUUUUCUUCUUCUUUUUCACCAAGCCGAGCCCGUACUGUUCCACCGUGCUCCACAGGCACGAUUUUCCCGGCGAACACCAAAAGAAACAGUGGGAGGGAUCUGAGCUCGUAGAUCCGCGUUCACUACAUCCCCUUCUUGCACUCCUCGCAAACCCUACCCUCCGAUUCUAAUGGGACACCUCCCCCGUCGCCACUGAGUUCCUGAAGAAGAACCGCGCAUACGACUUGGCCACCACCGCCGCCACUCCAACCACUCCCAGAGCCACAGGCGCGUGCUCCCCCGAAGACCCGCACCUGAAGUUGGCGCCCCCAAUUAUGAUCGAGUACUUGGACUUUCUCUUUCCCGGAUCCACGAAGCGCGUGGAGUAGGAGGCGGGGAGGUUGCAUAGCGUGUAAGACCCUAGCUUGGCGAUGUGGGGAGAAGAUGAGAUGGAUUUGAUCAAAGACUUGCCGAAGAAUCUGGGGAGAAGAUGCGGGGACUUUCUCUCCCGUAUUACUUAUCCUAUCAUUUUCCUUGUACGGGCUGCCAAACGAGGCCUUAGUAUGCUAUUGCCUUGUAUUUGAAAUUAGACAAUCGUUUUAUUUAAAAAAAAACAAACUUACUAAGUUCACACUUAAACAUAUUUAAACAAACUUACUAAGGUCAACACACUUGCAGAUAACACAAUUAAAACUAAACAUACCAACAAACAUGGAUCACACUUACAAGGCCAAACAAAGCAUAUAUAUAUAUAUAUGUAUGUAUGUAUGUAUAAUGUAUGUAUGUAUAUAUAUGUAUAUUAUAUUUAUGAACAGUAUUGCCCUUGCUCUUGUCUUUGCCCAACUGGUAGUAGAGUUGCACAGAGACAAAGUUGUUGGUAUAUGGUCCAGCCCAUGAUCAAUGUUCUAGAUUAUUCUAGUAAGCAAGAGAUGAGGCUGAAGCUUGCUAGACAAUUCUAGAAUGUUAUUAAGUUGAUGGAAGAAGCUAGAGAGUACUAGCUUCCUUGGUUGCAAAUGGAAAGAUCUAGAAGCUACAAGUAUAUGGCUAGUCUAGAUUUUUCUAUACUAGAGGUUUGAAGAAGGAACUAGAAACUAGUAGAAUGCCAAACCCUCACCUAUAAAUAUGGGUGUGAUGUAACCAAUUGAGAACCAAGAGUGAGUAGCAAAGGAUCAAGUCCAAAGCUAGAGUUCCACUCCAAGAGUGAGAGUGAGAGUGUUCCACUACACAUUGUGUGAGUGAAGUUUAGAGUGAUAGAAAGUGUGUGUUAUACUUUCUUGUAUCCAUCAAGCCUUGUCUUUGGCUUGGUAAGACUACUCUUGUUGUAUUCAUCUUUUUCAUAUAGUGAAGAUUGAUCCUUGUUUGGUGGACGUAGGCAUAAAUUGCCGAACCACAUAAACUUUUCUUGGCGUCCAUUUUCUACUUUACCUUGUGCAUUCUCUAUCUUGUAGUACCGACAUUCCUAACAAGUGGUAUCAGAGCCCGGUUGGCUCGUACUACGAGAUGGAAGGAAGUGGCACUAUGAUCAAACUCACCAACUCCAAUUGGGUAACAUGGAAGCCAAGGAUGGAGGACAUUCUCUAUUGCAAGGAUUUGCAUGAGCCAAUUGAAGGAGAUGCCGCUAAGCCCGAGAGCAUGUCCGAUGCCGAGUGGAAGAAGAUGAAUCGCAAGGCUAUUGGCACAAUUAGACAAUGGGUGGACGAUAGUGUUUUUCACCAUGUGUCUAAUGAAACCAAUGCUCGCGAGUUUUGGACAAAGCUUGAGUCCUUGUUCGAGAAGAAAACUCCAGCUAAGAAAGCCUUCUUGAUCAAAGAGCUCAUCAAUGUGAAGUACAAGGAUGGUUUAAGUGUAGCAGAACACUUGAACAAUUUCCAGAAUAUCAUCAACCAGUUGGCUACUAUGAAAAUGAUGAUCGAGGACGAGCUACAAGCGCUCUUGUUACUUGGAUCCUUGCCAGACAGUUGGGAGACCUUUGUGGUGAGUAUAAGUAACUCUGCUUCUAAUGGUGUUCUUACUCUUGAUAAUGUUAAAAAUAGCAUGCUCAAUGAAGAAACAAGGAGAAAGACUUCUGGCACAGAUAGCAGCCAAGUAUUUGUCACAGAGAACCGCGGAAGAAGCAAGAGUAGAGGGCCUAGAGGUCAUGGCAGGAGUCCUAGCCGAUCCAAGUCAAAGUUCAGGGGUGCAUGCCACCACUGUGGCAAAGAAGGCCAUAUGAAGAAAAAUUGUCGAGUUUGGAAGAGAGAGCAAAGGGAAGGAAACAAUCAGAAGAAAGAUGAUACUGGCAAUACCACCGCUGUCAUCUGUGGUGAUGUACCAGAAAUAUUGUCUGUUGGUGAAUGUCUGCAUAUGGGCAACUCUGACAGAGACAUUGAAUGGAUCUUUGAUAAUGGAGCUUCCUUCCAUGCUACGUCCAAACGGGAGUUCUUCAGUACAUACAAAGAAGGUGACUUUGGCAUAGUGAAGAUGGGGAAUGAAAGCUAUUCCAAAAUUCUUGGAAUUGGUGAUAUCUGCUUAAGAACUAAUCUCGGCUGCCAAUUGAUGUUGAAAGAUGUGAGACAUAUUCCUGAUAUACGUCUCAAUCUGAUAUCCAUCGGUACCCUUGAUCGACAAGGAUAUUAUCACCAUAUUGGCGAAGGAAAAUUGAAGCUUACUAAAGGCUUAAUGGUGGUAGCAAAAGCACGACUUUGUUGUACGUUGUACCGGUCAAAUGCACAGGUUUUUGAAAGGUGAGUUGAAUGCUGUGGAGGACUCAUCUCUAGACUUAUGGCAUAAGAGGCUGGGCCACAUAAGCGAGAAAGGCCUACAAGUUUUGGCAAAGAAGUCUCACAUUCCCUUUACCGAAGGUACGUCGUUAAACUCUUGUGAGCAUUGUUUAUUCGGAAAACAAAGAAGAGUUAGUUUUUCUGUUCCAUCUACAAAGAAAGGAAACUUGUUAGAUCUUGUUUAUUCAGAUGUGUGUGGUCCCAUGGAAGUCGAGUCACUUGGAAGAAAUAAAUAUUUUGUUACUUAUAUUGAUGAUGAUGCUUCACGAAGGGUGUGGGUGUAUUUGUUGAAAUCCAAAGACCAGGUGUUUCAGACAUUCCAGGAGUUCUAUGCCAUGGUGGAGAGGGAAACUGGGAAACCUCUCAAGUGCCUUCGUAGCGACAACGGCGGCGAGUACACAUCUCACCAGUUUAGAGAGUAUUGUGUAAAACAUGGCAUACGUCAUGAGAAGACAGUUCCUGGAACUCCACAACAUAACGGUGUUGCUGAAAGAAUGAACCGAACCAUCAUGGAGAAAGUCAGGUGUAUGUUGAGGACUGCAAAGUUAUCUAAGCAGUUCUGGGGUGAAGCUGUAAGGACAGCCUGCUAUUUGAUCAACCGAUCUCCAUCAGUACCAUUAGGUCUUGAUGUUCCAGAGAGAGUAUGGACUGGUAAUGAUGUGUCUUACUCUCAUCUGAAGGUGUUUGGUUGCAAAGCUUUUGUGCAUGUGCCCAAAGAGCAGAGAUCGAAGUUAGACUACAAAGCUACACCGUGCAUCUUUCUUGGUUAUGGCGGUGAAGAUUUUGGUUACAGAUUAUGGGACCCAUACCAGAAGAAGUUUAUCCGAAGUAGAGACGUGGUCUUUUAUGAAGAACAAACAAUUGGGGAUUCGGAUAAAGAGGCACAACCAGAUGGCGCAGUCAGAGGAGUUGAUCCAUUAGCUUCAGAUGAAGAAAGUCACGAUGACAUCCCUGAAGCAACUGCCAAUGAAGUGCCUGCAGAAUCAGAUAAUGCUAAUCAAGAGGAGCCUGAUCAAGAUGUGCCAAACCAUGAGAUUGCUCAUCAGGGGAGCCUAGUCAAGAAGAGCAUAUUCAAGGAGAACCCAAUCAGGGGGAGCCUCCAGCCCUACAAGAGAAUGAAGAUCAGGUCAGAAGAUCCAUCAGAAGUCGAAGACCGUCUACCAAGUAUUCUUCAUCAGAGUAUAUCAUGUUGACUAAUUAUGGAGAGCCCGAAACAUAUGAGGAGGCCAGAGCUCAUAACGACAGUGACAAAUGGAUGAAGGCAAUGGAGUCGGAGAUGGAUUCCUUAUCAAAGAAUGAUACCUAUGAGCUGGUGGAGCUUCCAAAGGGCAGGAAAGCAUUGAAAAACAAGUGGGUGUUCAAAUUGAAAAGAGACGACAACAUGACAAGGUACAAGGCUCGUUUGGUUGUCAAAGGUUUUGGUCAAAAGAAAGGAGUUGACUUUGAUGAGAUUUUCUCACCGGUGGUGAAGAUGACUUCCAUUCGAGUUAUCCUUGGUAUGGCAGCAAGCAUGGAUCUUGAGCUCGAGCAGUUAGAUGUUAAAACUGCAUUUCUCCACGGCAAUUUAGAAGAGGAGAUAUACAUGGAGCAACCCAAAGGCUUUGAAGUCAAAGGUAAAGAAAAUUUGGUGUGCAAGCUCAAGAAAAGUUUAUAUGGUCUUAAGCAGGCUCCGAGACAGUGGAAUAAGAAGUUCAACUCACUCAUGGUGAGUAAUGGGUACAAGAGAACUCAUGCUGACUCUUGUGUCUAUAUCAAACAAUUUUCUGGAGGUAAAUUCAUCAUCUUAUUGCUUUAUGUUGAUGACAUGUUGAUUGUCGGACAAGAUACCUCUAUGAUUAAAAAGCUCAAAGAAGAGUUAUCUAAGUCCUUUGACAUGAAGGACUUAGGGCCAGCCAAGCAGAUUUUGGGCAUGGAUAUAAUUCGUGACAGAAAAUCCAAAAAGUUGUGGCUGUCACAAGAAAAGUAUGUUGAACGGGUGCUUGAAAGGUUCAACAUGAAAGCAGCCAAAUCGGUAAGCUCACCUUUAGCCAAUCAUAUCAAGUUGAGCAAAGAGUCAUGUCCAAAAACAUAUUGAAGAAAAGGAGAAAAUGGCAGUUGUUCCCUACUCUUCAGCAGUAGGAAGUAUCAUGUAUGCAAUGGUGUGCACACGGCCAGAUAUUGCUCAUGCAGUAGGUGUGGUGAGCAGGUUUCUCUCUAAUCCAGGGAAGGACCACUGGGAAGCUGUUAAGUGGAUUCUCAGAUAUUUGAAAGGGACUUCUAAGAUGUGCUUGUGCUUUGGCGGUUCCAAACCAAUCUUGGAAGGAUUUACAGAUGCUGACAUGGGAGGUGACCUGGAUGGUAGAAAAUCUACGUCUGGGUACUUGUUUACUUUUACAGGGGGAGCCGUGUCUUGGCAAUCCAAGUUACAAAAGUGCAUUGCUUUGUCCACAACCGAGGCUGAAUACAUAGCCGCUACAGAAGCAUGCAAGGAGUUGUUGUGGCUGAAGCGGUUUCUCCAAGAGUUGGGUUUGAAGCAAAGUGAUUAUGGCGUUUAUUGUGAUAGUCAGAGUGCUCUGGACUUGAGCAAGAACACUACAUAUCAUUCACGCACUAAGCACAUUGAUAUUCGUUAUCAUUGGAUUAGAGACGCUAUCGAGAACAAGUUGCUGCAGCUGAAGAAGAUUCAUACCGAUAAUAAUUCUUCAGACAUGUUGACAAAGGUAGUCACAAAAUCAAAGUUGGAAUUCUGCAUUAAGGCUGCUGGGAUGAACUCCAGGUAACUUGGAGUCAUGAUCGGAAUUCCUCCCUCAUGGACUGGAGGGGGAGAUUGUUGGUAUAUGGUCCAGCCCAUGAUCAAUGUUCUAGAUUAUUCUAGUAAGCAAGAGAUGAGGCUGAAGCUUGCUAGACAAUUCUAGAAUGUUAUUAAGUUGAUGGAAGAAGCUAGAGAGUACUAGCUUCCUUGGUUGCAAAUGGAAAGAUCUAGAAGCUACAAGUAUAUGGCUAGUCUAGAUUUUUCUAUACUAGAGGUUUGAAGAAGGAACUAGAAACUAGUAGAAUGCCAAACCCUCACCUAUAAAUAUGGGUGUGAUGUAACCAAUUGAGAACCAAGAGUGAGUAGCAAAGGAUCAAGUCCAAAGCUAGAGUUCCACUCCAAGAGUGAGAGUGAGAGUGUUCCACUACACAUUGUGUGAGUGAAGUUUAGAGUGAUAGAAAGUGUGUGUUAUACUUUCUUGUAUCCAUCAAGCCUUGUCUUUGGCUUGGUAAGACUACUCUUGUUGUAUUCAUCUUUUUCAUAUAGUGAAGAUUGAUCCUUGUUUGGUGGACGUAGGCAUAAAUUGCCGAACCACAUAAAUUCUUGGCGUCCAUUUUCUACUUUACCUUGUGCAUUCUCUAUCUUGUAGUACCGACAUUCCUAACAAAAGUAUUGUUCAUAGUAAAAAGUACGGGCAAGCCAACUGCCUUGUUCUUACACUUGCGUUCUCCAAACGGGUGAAACUGCUAUUAUGAUCGGUCUGAAGUAGACGCGCUUAUUCUUGCGUGAGGAAAUUAUCAGUCUCCUUAACAAGAUAACAGCUAACUGGAGCUGAAGUUGGGGAUCCGGAACCCAUCAUGUAGCUUUUCAUAUUGUAGAACCAAAUUCACCACGCUGCCCUCAUCAUGAACGCCUAAUUUUGGAGUAACUUGUAAAGUGAUCUUAAAGCUCUUGUAUCGAUCUAGAGGGUUUCCUUCAAGCACUGUGAAAGUCACCGAAUGAUUUACAUCGUCUAUGGCUUCAGUUAACUCCUUGGAAAAAGUUGGUUUCCCAUCUGCUAACAUUUCAUCACAAAUCAAUUACUUGCUUCAUCCACAAAAAAACAUGUCGACAUAUAUAGUAAGAGAACAAUCUUUCAGCCACACUUACCUUCAAUAUAAUCCCACAAGAAGACACAACCCACUUUACCCCAUUCACCUUCAAGUAAUUUAUGACUCGGAACUUUGUCGGGGCUGAUGUUGCAUAUUUCGUACGGUGUUCGUGCAAAGAAUUCAUGGAACCUGUUUGCUUCAGACUUGAUUUCAACACUCGUCUCCACCUUGCUAGAAUUUGACAUUUUCCACAAGUACCAGAGUUGAAGGAAAAACGACUUUGGUGGUUCCCAACGUGAAAAUGGCGGGGUUUAGUGCAGCAACAAAGAAAAUGGCGGUGGCUGCUGCAAAUGGAUGUGGUGAUUCCCUCUCCCGCAGAAAAGAAGAUAAGUUUUUCUUACAAUAUUCUAAUUAUUCUCCAUGAUGAUGUCUGCCAUCUGCAAUAAAAAAAUAAUAAAAAGAAAAAAGACAGCCACUGAUGAUUGGUGAAGUGACGAGAUAAUCAUCAACUAGCUCAGCUCCACCCUCAGCACAACUGUGACGAAACCCACUUUUCUGAGAAAAUCACGAGAAAAGCAGAAAGCAAAAGAUAAAGCAAAAGGAAGACACAUGGGGACACUGCAAAAGUAAGGAAUAAACAUCCCACCAGAAUGAUGUAAUUUAUUUUUAUUAUCUUUCGGAGACAUCUGUAUAAACCCCAUCAGAGGGUAAUUAAAAAAAAAAAGCCCAAAAUAAUGGGCUGCAAACCCAAAAUAAGGGGCUACAAUGUCAUGGGCGAAGGCCCAUAUGCCCAAAAGACCCAUACCCUCUAUUACCACCAACCAGGUGAUCAAAAGUACGCCCAGUACUCCACAAUUAUUCGACAACCUGCCGCUAUUACCACCAACCAGGUGAUGAAAUGUACAACCCGUACUCUAAAAUCAUUUGGCAACUAGUCAUUCAUGCCACCAACCAGGUGAUGAAAUGUACAACCCGUACUCUCCUUCAUGCCACCAACCAGGUGAUCAAAAGUAUGCCCAGUACUUCAUAUUAUACAUGAACAUUACUCAUGUCAAUCAUACACAAACAUUCAUGAGUAUCACUCAUAUCAAUCAUACAUAUACAUUCAUGAGUAUCACUCAUGUCAACAUUCAUGAGCAUCACUCAUGUCAACAUCCAUGAGCAUCACUCAUAUCAAUCAAACAUUCAUGAGCAUCACUCAUGUCAAACAGCUUCAAAAGCUUCAUUUACAAAAGCUCUAGCUUCAAAAGCUUCAUUUACAGAGCUUCAGCUUCAAAGCUUCACUUAUAAAGCUUCAGUGCAGGGUAUACAAAUACCGCCUCCGAACAACCGCCACUUCGGCCCAUACAUGGAUUCAAUUUGAAGUCUCCAGCUAACAGACUCUAUUGACCGAAAAGACUUGGGGGACUACAUUAUAUACCAUAUAUUGGGCCUCAACUGGGCCUCAUAAAAAAUACUUGGGGGACUUAGCCCAUUAUCUAUGUACUGAGGAGCGAACCCUUAUUCUAUAAAAGGGACUUCCUCACUUUCAUUAGAGAGCAUCGCCGCCAGCUGAGCAACCGCCUCGCCGCGAGCAUCACUCCUAACCCAUCACUUAUGUAUUGAGGAGUGGGCCCUUAUUCUAUAAAAGGGACUCCAUCACCAUCAUUAGAGAGCAUCAACUCUAGCCCAUUAUCUAUGUACUGAGGAGCGAGCCCUUAUUCUAUAAAAGGGACUCCAUCACUUUCAUUAGAGAGCAUCGCAGCCAGCUGAGCAACCGCCUCGCCGCGAGCAUCACUCCUAACCCAUCACUUAUGUAUUGAGGAGCGGGCUCUUAUUCUAUAAAAGAGACUCCCUUACCAUCAUUAGAGAGCAUCAACUCUAGCCCAUCAUUCAUGUAUUGAAGAGCGAGCCCUUAUUCUAUAAAAAUGACUCUCUCACCUUCAACGCCACAAGCCGAGCCAACCAAGGCAACAUAAGCCACGAGCCGAGCAGCCUCGCAGCAUGUGCUACUUCUAGUUGAGCAUCAUCUCAGAUUGAGCACCGCCUCAUAUCGAACAUCAGUUCAAGACAACGUCUAGUUACUUCGGCCCACACAUGGACUGAAUUUCAAGUCUCCAGCCAAAAGACUCUCUUGACUGAAGACUUGGGAGACUACUGUUUAUACCAUAUUUAGGGCCUCGUAUUUAGAUCUUGUACAAAUACUCAGGGGACUUAAAUGUAAUUAUGUGAUAAAAGAAGGGGCAAAUAUGUAAUAAGUGAGGAGUCCUUAUUCUAUAAAAGGACCCCUCACCCUCACAAUUAGAGGAGGCCAAUUCCUAGGCCCUCUCACCCCCUCUCAACGCUCUCACUAUCAGUGCUCCCUCUCCCUCAGAUAAAUACAUAAUCAAAGUGGACGUAGCCCAAACCUUGGGGUGAACCACGAUACAUCUUGUGUCAUUUACAUUACUUGCAGAUUCACGGUCGGAUUUACGUUGUUCCAAAACCUCCGGUUUUGUGCAUCAACAGCCCUUACAUUUAUAUAGAAGAAAAGAGGGAAACAAAAACUUUACAAGAACCUAACAAUUUGCCCAUGCCAUCAGACAUGGAUGUAUUUAUUCACUAAAAAAAAUGCGUUAGUUGUAUUAUUUUACUAGAACCGAACAAUUUGCCCAGUAGACAUGGAUGGUGGAAUAUCUUGAUCAAUAUUAUUCCUCGUUUGCUCUCGUCGUUUCUAAGAAAACAAUGUUUUGUGGUUUUAUUAAAUAGCUGGAGACAAAAUGUUUCGAUCUUGUUCGUUUCUCUGUUUGUAUGCUUUUAUACAUGUUAUUUCUAAACAAUUUGUUUGUUUUAUGGUGGGCAUCUUUAAAAGUAAGAUACCCAUUUGUUUUUAAAGAAAUGUUAUUGUCACCUAAAAAUUUAAGUGUGUAUUUAUAAUUAUUUAUAUUUAAAAAAAAAUAUUCUUACAAUGAAUGUACAAUUAGAUUUUUGUAGUGUAAAUUUUCUGUCUUCAAUUUCGACUACUCGAAAUAUAUGAUCCGAUUGACCCCCAAACAUUGAGGUUUAAAUAUUUAUGGCUGGGGAAGACGAAUUCACCCAAACCUCGAACUCCUUUUCUUAGGAAAUAAAUUGAAAGUUAUAAUCUAAGGCCAAAUUCAAACCGAAACAACAACAUUCUAUUCUAUAAUUUCUCCUAGUCCUGAUCGGUUAGGGAUUCUAGUUAGUUCGUUUACAAACUACGUUGGCUAAUAUAUUUCAGUUACAACUUCAUAUAUAAAUGCAUUCUUCGUCGAAUUAACAAAUAAUCAGUUUGUAUCUAUAUAUAUAAAGUGAGAGCCCUAGUUUGGUGAAGCAUUUGAUAAACCAAAAAUGCCCUCACUUCAUACACUAUACCAACGUUAAUUGUCCAAUAAAAUUAGGGUCAAAAUUGUAAUAUAAUACAACGAAAUUCUACUGUGCGAAUAAUACAUGCACUCAUCUGAACAAUGACAAUUUUCAACCACUAGAUAAAAAUAUACACACUUAAAAUUCAUUGUGACCCUUAGAUCAAUCCUCCCACAAAUACUGCAUCACAUUCUAUCUUUCCACCAAAACCAAAAUAACAAAUAAAUUGAUAAAAACUGACAAACACUCCCUCCAAAUUAGAGUAGAACUGUCAAACACGUUGUCGCACAAAACAGAACACCGGUUGCAGCAGUUGCAAAGAUCGGAGAUAGAACCACCAAUCUACCACACGUUCUAGAGGGGAUAGCGAUCAUUCCAACCCCAAAUGCACAGAAAAGAGGAAGAACUCAUUUUCGUCUUCUGCACAAACCUCUCAUCCACGUGUUUUUCCAGAGUUUCUUCUGCAUCCACACUCAAUUUACACAAAUUCAGGUGAUUUUUUUUUCAUAAUUUCUACCCUCCAAUUAAGUAAUAUUACCCACAUGAAUCUGCUUUUCCGCUUGUUUUGUUUAUUAUUCUAUAUAAUUUAAUAAGGAAAUUCGAAUCAUUGAUGGCGUAGGAUGGGAUUGCUGGGCGUUCAAAAUUGCUCAGUGAUUAGUACUUAAUCGACCACACUGCUUAUAUUAUUUAAACUUAAUUGUUGUCAUAUGGGUUUUUCUGGAUUCCAUUUCUCUUAUUUAUGUGAUUUGAGUCAGUGGUAGUCAGGUGCAUGCAAUGAGAGACAUUUGAGGCUAUAGCUGGGAAUUUGGUUUCUAUAAAAUUACUUCUGCAAUUGGUCAGAAUUUAUAGGAGUUACUAAAAUUACCCCAUUACCAGUUUUUGUUUUACUAUAGUUGGUAAUGAUUUGUAAGCAGAUUGUACAUUGAGGUAAUGUGUGAAUUGAAUUCUGAUGGUUAAACUAAUACGACAAACUGGUAAAAAACCAUCACUGAAAAAAGAUAAAGCAUCACAACUGUAGAGUUUUGCCUAAUGAAGAAUUAGAACCGCGACGUGGGAUUCAACCACCCUCCACGUUCUGCAAACUACAAACCAGAUUGACAAAGACUCUUCCUCUACAGAAAACGAGGGGAGGGAGAAAUAGAGAUACAUAUUGACAAAGACUCUUCCUCUACAUCGACUGAUUCUUAUCGCAGGUAACUUUCAAACUUGAUUCUCAAUUUUCUAUGUAUUCCUUCCAGCGUUUGUUCAAACUUUCAAACUUGACUCUACUCGCCGUGAUCAACAACUGCAGCUUCUUGAAACAGCCUUUCACUCGUCAUAAACGACAAGUGUGGCUUCUUUACCAGUAUGUUUAUUAGUCUCUUUUCUAAUCAAAUUCAUUGCCAUUAAUUAACUGUUUCUCAUCGAUCAUUCAUUUCUGAUCAUAUUUUCAAUUUCCGUUCUAUUCCCAUUUAUACAUCUUUUUCAAUUGUGUAUGAAUUAUUUGCUUUGAUGAAGCAGAAUUAGAUUUGCGUUCAUAUUCAAUUCUAAUUAAUUGACGAUGUCCUUUGAGAGCGAGCCCAAACUAUCUAGCGAUUCGAUAUAAUCGGAGAAAGAUUUUCCAGGGUGAACCAUAUCCUUUACCUGACUAUUGAGCCGUAAAGUUUCCGGUUUCUUAAGGUUUCGGAUAUCCACUCAAUCUAUUGGGACCUGUCUGGAAAUCCCCACAGCCAUGUGACUUGCGAUUCUUCUUCUUAAUAAACGACUUAGUUUUUGCAUUUUUUGUUCGAAUUCAAAGUUUUUUUUAUACAAAUUUGAAGCUUUUCUUCAAGCUUAUUCAUUAUAUAGAUUCCAAAAUUUUUAAAUCCUCUCAAAGUAGUAGGGAUUUGGAAAUGAACUCUGCUAGAGAAGGUGGCUUGCGUUGAAAUUACCAUAAUAACAGUGUUGGGUUGGGAAUUUUUUACUGGUUUUUUAUUUAAUAUGUUUUGAAUCUUAUCUUGCAACCUGUUGUUUUUCUUCAUGGGGUUCAGGAGGAGGAACUUCACCAAGUAUUCAAAGUAAUCAAAGAUUCUUCAAUCCCGAGUUUUACCGAUCAUUCUGUUUGAUCAGGUUGCUACUUCACCCUUUAUGAUAAGUUAUUAGAUGCAUUUCAGUGUGUCCUGCAUUUGAUAACUGAGUUAUUUCGUUAUUGCUAGAAAGGUAAAUUUUACGCUAGAUUGCAAUGCAAGGUAUGUAACUCGAUAGUUUGAUGAGUUUGAAUUAUUUUUUUUAUUAGGGCUGUUGCUACUUAUUUAAUUAUGCUUGGCAAUUAGCCUGCUUGAUCGGGGGUAUGAUCGUUGUGAAUGCCGUAUGAUUGCAAUGGCAAAAUUUUAUUGAUUCAAGUGUGAAAUAGAUAAACAAAUAAGAAAAAACCAUGUUCAUGCGUAAACCAUGUCAUUGUCAUUGAAAAAACUAUAGGUAACCCUCUAAAAAUUAAUAGAUGAAGUCAAUGGAAUUGAGAGCUAUGUAAUCCAAGUCCCAGUUGCAUAUGUUAUUGGUGCAUUCAAGAGCUAGCUAAUUGAGGAAGAAAUUCAGAGGUUGAUGUAAGUUGUCUGCAAAGCAUCAUAACCUAGGGUUGAAGCACUUAGCUUUUCUCUACCCUCUUCCAUAUAAUUAGGAUUACAAGUUGUUUUAGAUAUUCAGUUAAUUUUGAAGCCAUUGGCAAUGUUUCAGUUGCAGAGUUUGAUUUAUCAAUUAUCUGCUAAAUGCAUGGAAUUUCAUCUUUUUUACUUUCAAUUUUGGGUCAAAUGUUGGGAAAUUUUUACUGGUUUUUUUAUAUAAUAUGGUUUAAAUCUUAUCUUGCAGCCUGUAGUUUUUCUUCAUGGGGUUCAGGUGGAGGAACUUCACCAAGUAUUCAAAGUAAUUAAAGAUUCUUCAAUCCCGAGUUUUACCGAUCAUUCAAUUUGAUCAGGUUGCUACUUCAUCCUUUAUGAUAAGUUAUUAGAUGCAUUUUAGUUUGUGAAACUAGGAAGGGCAUUCUUUUUGCUUAGUUGUAAGAUACUUGAGAAGCCGAAUAUUACACUUAAUCAAAGAACCGAAAUGGCAAUGUGCUAUUUCACUUUGUUUCUUUGAUGACUCAAAAUUGUAAUAUGAUUGAACUGAAUGAUUACCUGUUUUCAUCUGCAUCUCCAGAUUCAUUUCUUUCAUUUUUAGAAUCAUCAACUCCAUGAUUACCUGUUUUCUUUCAUAUAUGUUUUUCUUUUACUAAUUUAUGUUUUAACUUUUCGUUCUCUUUCAAUUUUCGUAAAUCUGAGUUUUAGAAAACACAUACAAUUCAUGUUACUAACAAAACUUUUGAUGCUUUUACACACUCAUUGGGAUUGUGUAAUGGUACAAGAUUAUUGUGUCGUGGUAAUUACCAAAAUCUUAUUGAUGCUGAAAUUCUAACUGGACAAUUUGUCGGAUCCAAAGUUUUCUUACCAAGAAUCCCUCUCAAAAGUACUAAUACUGCUGGGCUUCCAUUUAAACUUACAAGAAAGUAGUUUCCAGUGAAACUAAGUUUCUCUAUCACUAUAAACAAAUCUCAAGGUCAGACAAUACCACAUGUAGGCAUUUACCUUCCAGAUCACAUCUUCAGUCAUGAACAAUGAUAUGUGGCUUUAUCGAGGGGGGUCUCAAAGUCAACCACAACCGUGUUAGUAAAAAAUGGCUCCAUAAUCAGCCAACAAGGUGUAUUUACACGGAAUGUAGUAUACAAAGAAGUCUUGCUUCAUUCCAGCUAAUUAUGGUGAUUUCUAAUAGGUAACAAUUUUAUUAUCGAUAACCUUUCAGUAUGCAUUUCUCACUUAUCAAUUAACUCUUUUUAUUUGAUUUUUAAUUUUCUCACUAUCAUUUGUAGAUUGGCAAUGAAAAUUUGAAGCAUCAAUCAUGAACAAAUGGGUGGAAAUUGCAGCAUUGAUAUCAAAAUGAAAACUUUUUUUUCAAAAGAAACGGUGACAUAUAGACUCUAUGGGUAUUGUGAAUAAUGUACAUAUUGUUAUGCAAGAUUUAUAUUUUGACAUUUAAGUUGUUUUGUAUUUUUCUACGAGUAAUGUUUUCAUCUACUCUUUUUUUUACAUCUACUUACUAUUGUCCAUGGACUUUAGGUAGGAACUUGCGUCUAAAAUCCCAUGUUGUUUGACAAGUGCAUGAAUAACAUUUAAAUCAUUACUUUACGCAAAGUAAAAACGAAAAACAUGAUAACUUUUUAGGAUAUGCAUGAUAAAAAAAGAGUUCCUCUUUGCACAAUACAUUUAAAAUAUAUCUUGACAAUUACGAUGGGAAAAACUAACACAAUACACAUUUAGGGGCGCGUAGCACCCGUGAUGUAAAAAUGCCUCUCGCACGCACAUUAGUGGGUGCGGAGAGGCUAGUAAUUAAUUAAGAACAAGAGGACUCGAAACAGAAGCAGCAAAACAUGACCAUGACCAACAACGACAACGUUUUGGAGCCGCCCAUCAAUUUCUCGAUGGUGGAUGAGGGCGUAUUCCGAUCAGGCUUCCCGCAGCCGUCAAACUUCCCAUUCCUCCAAUCCCUUCAACUCCGUUCCAUUAUCUAUCUCUGCCCCGAGCCCUACCCGGAGGAGAGUUUGGAGUUUCUUCGGUCGCAAGGCAUUCGGCUCUUCCAGUUCGGAAUCGAGGGCAAGAAGGAGCGGUCUACGUCUCCGCUGAUUCCAGCAGAGACCAUCUCCGAGGCACUGAAAGUUUUGGUUGAAAUUGAGAAUCAUCCGGUGUUGAUCCACUGCAAACGCGGCAAGCAUCGGACUGGUUGUCUGGUGGGUUGCCUGAGGAAAUUUCAGAAUUGGUGUUUGUCUUCGGCGUUAGAGGAGUACCAGCGGUUUGCCGGCGAAAAAUCUAGGGGGACGGAUUUGAGAUUUAUCGAGACGUUUGACGUAUUGGGCCUCAGGGGGGAUGCCUUCACGGCAUUGUCCGCCAUUAUUAUUAAGUUUAUGCUUCCGGAAAGAGGCGGUUGUUGUACAAACAAGAGUUGCAAACCCAUAAACCCUAGGUGAUGUUUUAGUUUUUACGUGUUGAAAUUUUAUGCCCUUUUAGUUGUACCAUAAUGAAAAUUCAUUCAUUCGCUUAGUGACGGGUCCCACGUAUGGGAGUGAUUUUUUUGUUGUUGUUGAUUUAGCAUAAUCACGAAAUUUAGACAUGCUUAUAAAUUUAGUCCUCAAUUUAGGAGUAGGAAAUUUUUAAGAAUAUAUGGACAUGCAUGUUUACUUAAAAAAUUAGAAUGAAAAAUUAUGAAUGGAGAAAGUCAAAAAUACAAUGAAAGAAAUUCAUAUAAAAUUAACUACCCCUGAUAAAUUUGAUACCUGGAAUGAGAAUAAAAAGUCAUGAAUUGAGAAGUUGGAAAUAAGAUAGAAUAAAUCCGUACGAAAUCAACUACUCCCUGAUAAAUUUGAUUCUUGGCAUGAGAAGUCAUGAAUUGAUACGAAGUCUAAUUCUAAUUCUUUUGACAUAUUUUUUUCUAUUUUUAUUUUAUUUUUUAGUUGUUAAAUUAUCAAUGUAAAGUAGAACUCAAAUACUUUUUGACUCCACAUAACCACAUAAAAAUCAAGAAUUGAAACAGAGUAAUUCUAAUACUAAUUCGUACUCUAUCCUAGUGCAAAAAGUUAGAAUUGUAAAAAUUUAGAGCUGAUCUUGGUGAAAUAUAGAACGUCAUAGGACCAUGAUUCUGGAACUCCUUUCCCUCCUUCGACUGUGGUCGGCCUGGGUCAGAUUUCUUCGUUCAGGGAUUUACCUGUUCUGAAUAGUCUGCCCUUGAUGGGUCAACUCUAGUUAGUUAAUCCAAGCAUAGGAAGAUGAGACAAAAUACACACAAAGUUGUUAGGAUAUCUUUUCUUUUUAUAUUUGAGCGAUAUUCUAGUCUAAUCCAAAUUCAUGGAAGGAGGAUUCAAAUUUGGCUACAAUCGGAUUCACAUAUUAGGAUUGAUUUUAAAUUAAAUCCAGGUUGAUAAAAAUAUUUCAAAAUUUUUAAUGGAAACUUUUUUGUGAAGGUAUUGAAGUUGGGAUUGAAACAGAAGAUAGAGCGUAAUAUAAAGUUACAAUAACAUGUUCUAUUAAAUGAAAGUGACUAAAUAUUGAAAAAAAUGCUACACUGCGUGAUCAACUCCGGCAACGAGCAUUAGCACUGCAUCCACGGUUGUAGGGAUUACUCUGAUUCUGAGCACCCGGCUUGCAGUUGUUGGAGGAAGCACCUCUCUGAGAGCAAGGCACAGUGUUUCUCUGCAGAGCUUCAUAGCUUAUGUUUCGUGAGGUGGCCAAGAUGCGCCUGCUAAUCUCCGAGUCCAUGCCAAAUUCAUCAUCACGAUCAUCCAUACACUCUGCUACAGAACCCUCGCGGCGAGGUCUCACUGGAACCCAGCUCACCCCAUGAUCGCCGCCUGCAUCAACGGAGAUGAUCAGAGCGGCCACGAAGGCCAAGGAAAAGAUAAUCGCUGAGGAAUUGGCCAUAGGUUUUGGUAUGGUCUGUGUUUUUAGCUGCCAACUUGUAUUUUGUUGUACGCCUGUUUAAUUACUGAGGGAGACAGAUGGGGCGGCAAGAGAGAGAAGAGUUGGUGAAUUCUGAUGUAUAUAUUAUUGCACUCUAUUGUGUUAUUUAUAGUAGUAAAAAGUAUAAAAAAGGGAAAGUCCUAAGGGAAAAUCCUUAUCUUUCAGGCAAUCCAUCUUAAAUAACACACAAUCUACAAGAUAUUCUGCAGUCCCAUAAGGAUUUUUUACACAAAAAUUCCUAGUAAGUUUGGACUUUGAUACAUUUAAAUUUGAUUAAAUGGAAAAUUGGAUGCUGAUUUCUUCAAGGAGGUGAUUGUGGAUGCAAAUUUCUUCCUCCUUGAUCUUGGACAAAAUUGGACCUACAAAACAAUUAACACCUUAGGGUCAAGGCCAAGAGCCUCACGUGUCCACGAUGAACGCGGGGGGGGGGGCUUUGGCCGUUUGGCCGAAGAACCUCUGAUGCCAAAGUUAGAAUUUAGAGAGAAAAGUGUUUAGAGAGUAUUGGGAAUUUUGCGUGUUGGACCUAGGUUUUGGUGAAAAUGGGAGCCAAUACAUAGGGCAUAGGGUGUAACUUAUGGUUUAAUGUGUGAUUUAAUGGAUUAAUUAGGCAAUUAAUCGAUUAAUUGGUUAAUCAACACAUUUUUGGCAUAAAUAUUUUGGGGGUUAUGUAAUUUAUACCUUGUGGAAAAUAUAGGAUGAGGAUGGAUGAAAUAACUUUGAAUUUGUUACUUAUUUUGGGCAUGCUUGAUUUGGUUGAAGGAUGAUUGCCCGCUACUCGCGCGUAGGAAUCCCGUUGUACCUCAAGGGUAUUUUUGUCUUCUUUUGUCCAAAAAUCCACGUGUCGCCUUGUGAUUAUUUUUGGCUCCAUAGUGAUUACUUAAAUGACUUGCACUAAUUAGCCUUAGGGCUAGUUUGGUAUUACUGUGCUUUGAAAAAAACUGCUUCUGCUGUGCUGCGAAAAUAAACAACUGUGAAAUAAAGCGGUAGAGUGUUUGGUAAACUUUUUUGUAAAAAUGCUUUUAGCAAAAAAAUCAGUGUUAAAGUGUUUGGUAAAUUUUUAUAUAAAACUGCUGUGAUUAGGUUAAAUGACUAAAAAUGAUAUAAUGUUAAAUUUAAUAUAUAAUUUUUUAUUUUUUAAUCUCUAUAAUUGUUGAGUCAUCCAAACUCUUCCAUUUUCCAAAUCCCAUUUAUAAUUCUAGAGUCAUCCUUUUCGCCUAAUUUUUUUUUUCAUCUGACGUUCAGAUCCGAUACGUUAGCGUUCCGUUGGUUAUCAGACAGGAUCAAACUAAGCGUAGGCUGUUUCCGGAUCAGAUCUAGUCGAAGAGCUCUCCCCUAUCGUACUUAACUUGAAUAAGGCAGUUUCCCACUAGCCGCUUAAAGGAGUACUCAAGGAUUACCCUAUUACCGAUCUCGAACUGGCCUCCUACUGUCCUCGCUAAGAAAGAGUCUGCCCGCUUAAUUCAAUGAAGUAGUUGAUAUUUAUCUAUUAAAGUAAUUUAUCAAUUACGGCAUUCAAGGUCGGAUGAUAACAGUUCUCUUUACCCAAGAAGCUCGGGGAAAGGAAACAGAAGCCAUGCAGACUGAAAUUGACGAACUCCCCACCCACACUAAAAAGCAAAUAAAGACCCAUGUUUAGCGUCCUCCACUCUAAGGACCACAUCAUCCAGAAGUUCAAUCUCAUUUACCUCAAGAUCAUCGACAAGAUCGAUCUUCCAAUUUCUGAGACUGAUAUUUCUACCAUUUUUUCCCCUAGUUAUAUAACUUCCACUACCACUAGUUUCCCAGUUUCAUCUCCCCUACCAUCCAUGGCGUCUGCAAGCUCUCACAAACACCCAUCUCUUCUGUCAUCCAUUACUUUCCCCAUCACUUUCCCACCUUCCUCUUGGAGUUGCAGAAGGAGCUUGCUAUGAAGAUCUGUUGUGUGAAAUUGUGCAUCUUGGAUCGAGCACUUUUUUGACAACUGGGUUUUGGAUUUGUUUCCUGGUCUACAAUGCCACGAUGAGUUGAAAAAUACUCUGAUCAGAUUUCGAUUUCGAAAAUUGAAAUCCGACAAAACAAAAAUAUCAAUGAUGAAGAUUCAAUCUCAACCCAGCGAGAAGGAGAAACGGAGGAGAGUAUUUUUGAGAUUGUGAAAGUUUCAUUAAAAUAUACUGUUCACCCGCCUCCUUGAAAAAAUAAGUUGGUUUUGAGAAAUAACAAAAUGUAGCUUCUGUUUUUUGCCACUUUUCAGCUUUUAAUGAUCUGUGACUUUUAAAAUAAGCAGUGUUACCAAGCACAAAUUGUACUCCAAUUUUUUUUCAUCCCAGCUUUUAAAAUAAUUUAAGCAGUACCAAACCUUACCUUAUUCUAAUUGCAACAAAGAAAGCUGAAAUUGGAAUAAUUCGUGAUUUGUUCAAACCAAGAAUACAAAAGCAACAACCUACUAGAAAAUAUGCUCGUAGAGAUUUACGGGUUGUUUCUGCAAGUAAUUUUGCUAAAAGCGCUUUUAUUAGAACAACAUUGAGAAAUCAAUUUUAUAAUGAUAUGAGCAUGCCAAGAGAUUAAACUAGUUUACAACAUCAAUAUUAUAAUGAUAGUACUCUCAGUUCAUUCUUGCUCAUAGAAUUAAAGAGAGAAACCGAACUAAACAACAAUGCGGACUAGCUUGGUCAACUCUCAGGCCUUUAUUCUUGAAGAUAGCAAAAUUACUCAAAGUUCCAUAUCAUAUGUAUGCAUAAAUCUUGUGCUUGGCACUUAUUCCUUGAGAAGAUGUGCAUCAAUAUCUUUAAUGACAUUGACCAUAAAGCUGAGGUACUUCUGUGGAGGCGGAUCGUUCUCGUUGAGUUUUUCAUAUUCUAAAGUAAUUUUCACAAAACCUCCUUCACUCUUUGGAGUGACCUGGAAAAUGAUCUUGUAGCUUUUGUAAUUGUCCAGCACAUGUGAUCCUUCCAGAGCUGUAAGACUCACCCACUUGUUUACUUCAUCUAUUUCCACCUUUUCCUUGAAUGUCUCGACAUUUCCAUCUACACGUCACAUGGAAAAUUACAAUGAUACAUCUAUUCAUGGAGAGAUUUUUCAAUGCUCAGAACACUGGGUGGUACAACACAUGUUAUUAUACAAACGAAUGAAAAUUAUUUUCAAAUGUCUCUUCACUUAUAUAAUGAAAUAUAAUUUAUAUAUCCAUGUUCUGAGCACACUAAAAAUUCUCUCCUGUCCAUGAUCCGAUUCUUUAUAUAUUCAUCGUCAGGUAAUGCAAACCUAAUGGCGCAUGGAUGGCCUGGUCAAUAUAUUUCAGUUUUAAUUCUAGAAGAAUCUUAUACGUACAUAUACAUAUCACGUUAGCAUGUUUAUUUCAUAGCAGGUUAGUUUGUGUUAUUCAAUAAUAAUAAUAAUAAUAAUAAUAAUGUUACAGUAUUAACUAUAAACGUAACAUUAUUAUUAUACAACUUUUUUUAACAAACAAUAUUAUCUACAUUAAGGGAAAGAGGUGAGCUUAGCCUCACAAUGUUUGAAUGAUGGAAAUAAAUUUGGACUUUUGACAAAAUUUAGAAUUUAUAAAUUAACAUGCACCAAUUCUCUUGUCUAGAUUCAUAAACAUAGAAAUUUAGAAUUUCCGCGUGAAAAAAAGGGAGAAUUUGAGACCUCCAAUUCCCAAGUUUAAAUUUCAUGUAAAUAAGUCACUCAGUACUACGGUCUUGUAGUAUUUCUCUUCACUUGAAAGUGAGAGGUUAUAAGUUCGAAUCUUGUUGAUGACGAAUUUGAUACCAAAUUAGGCUACCCAUUGUGUGGCUUUGCCGAACUCCUUAGUGUAAAAAUAUCGAUGUACUAAAAAAAAUCAUGUAAAUAGGUGUUAUUCCAAAUUUUUAUGAGUGAGAGUUUAAAGAUAACAAAAUCUAUAUUGAAUUUAUAUUAUUCUUUUAAGUUAGUCAAACAAGAAAAUUUACAAAUUCUAGAAAUAAAAUUUCUUAGUAAUUUUAAAUUUUCUCAUCCAAACAGAAUGUUAGAGUCAUGAUGUAACACCCGUCGCUUUUUAUUUAACAAAAUUAAUUAUUAGUUUAACUAGGUUAGGAGGAGAGAGGAGGGUGAUUAAUUUCAUAUUACCUAGGGUGUAUUUCCAGAGCUUGACAGAGCCAGAAGUUUCCCAGUCACCUUCAUGUACUGCAACAUCGUGUAUUUUAUCAGAGGCUGCUUUGGGGACGUCGUGGUGCUGGUUGCUGAUGACUUUGUACAACUUAUCAGCGUUGGCUUUGAUCUCUACCUCAGCCUCCACAGUCAGCUUGCAAGCACCAGCUCCACUCACUGCCAUUUUCUUUUAUUUGUUAUUAGUAAUAUGUGAUUAGUCUGGGGAAAUUGUAGGAGACGUAUACUAACCUACAGGUUUCAACUUCUUAUAUAGAGUCGCAAAGUUGUAAAUUAACAUGUUAUAAACUGAUAGUUAUGGAGGCAGCGUGUGGAUAUGAUCCGAUCACUUAAUUAAAUAGUUAUAUAAUAAUAUUGUGUCUGUGGAUCUUCCAGGCAGAGUUUUAUUAAUUAUUACAUCUAGGGGUGGAAUUUUUUCCCGAAAAUCCCGAACCGUCCCGAUCCCGUCCCGAAAUUUGACUGAAAAAUUCCCGAACCGAAUUUUCCGAAACAUUCGGUACCCGAAACCGAACCCGUCCCGAAAGUUUUGGGUUGGGAUUUGGCCACAGCUUUGAAAGCUUUCGGUAAUCCCGAACCGAACCGAUUAUUAUAUAUAUUUAUUUUUAAUUUUUAAUUAGAAAUUACUUGAACCGUUGGAUUUGUUAAAAUCUAAUCCAACCGUCCAUUAGUUAGGUCAUUUUAUUAGGUUGUGAUCAGAUCUCUCGGACUCACUCACUCUCGGUCUCUCCGCUCCACUCUCGCUCACUCUCUGCGCUCCGCUGUCACUCACUCUCUCCGCUCUCUCUUGCUCACAGUCUCAGUCUCCCUCACACGCACUCUCACAAACAGUCUCGCCGCCCGUGCUCCCGCCGCUCUACUCCUCCGUCGAAUCCACGCUGCUCCUCAUCCUCCACAACUCACGCAAACACAGGAAGGAACCAAUUGAGUCCCAAAAUCCAGGAUAGGGUUUUUAAUUUUCACUGGGGUUUUGUCCUUUCUCUCUCUUUAACUCUUCAGACAGCAUUUCACAGAAACCCAAUUAAACAUAUGAAAAUAUACAAGCAACAACCUGUAAAAUUUAACAUAAAUAAACAAUGGUAAACUACAAUUAACAUAAAAAUUGCUCACAGAGAGAGAGAGAGAGAGUUCUUACAUGAGGUGCUGCAAUUGCUUGAGAGAGUUCUUACAUGUGGCUUUGUAGCUAGUGUGGAUUGUGACCUACUUAUUUGUGUGUUUAGAUACGCAAGCUAAGUAUAGCUGAUUGGUUUCGUAUCUGUUUGAGAUUUUUAUUUUAUUUUAUUUUGCUGUCAUAAUGUGCAGGACAAUCCCAAUUUCGAGGGUGAAACAUGUAGGAUCACUACUAGAAAUUUCCACUUUGCCGACAAAAAUAGUUUGUAGGCAAAAGUCAAAAUUCGUCGGCAAAGAGCCUUUCCCAACGAAAAAUUUUGUCGGCAAUUUUGUCGCUAAAAGCAUGUCGCGCAAGAUCUUUCUCGACAAAUCUUGAUAUUUCGUCGGCUCAUUUUUAAGGCGACAAAUCUCAGCCGUCAAACUGUGCCCAUCACCAAAACAACAUUGCGACAAAAUAUUUUGUCAGCAUAGGUUGUUUCUUCGCGAUGAAAUUAUUUGUCGGCUUAGUGAUCUUGUCGCGACAAAAUAUUUGUCGGCUGAGUAAUCUUGUUGCGACAAAACAUUUUGACGGCUAAGUAAUCUUGUCGUGACAAAAUGGUUUUUCGGCUAUGUAGUCCUAUGACAACAAAUUGGUUUGUCAGCUCAAAUGACUUGUGUAGACAAAAUAAUUAGUUGGUUGAAUCUUUUGUGAACAAAAACAUUUGUCGGCUAAUUAAUUUUGUGCCGACAAAACAUGUCAAGUCCAAUAUUUUCUAAUUUUUAAUAAUAUUUUUAACCAUCACAAACAAGCAAGCUUAAGAGAUCGAGAAGGGGCGUGAAUGAAGAAUUAAUGUAGGAACAACACAAAAUUCAUGUAAUAUAAACUAAUGUAAGGUUCACAAUUCGGUGUAGCUACAAAAUACAAAAAUAUCUAUGUUUUCAUUUCGAGAUUACUAUAAUAUAGAUAAAAUAUCCUUAAGUAUCACCAUUCUCACUAUAGUCCUCAUCAAGUUGAUAUGCAGCAUCAUGAAAUCGGGAAACGAUAAGGAUCAUCAUGAAACACUCCAGUAUCAAACAACUGUAGAAGAAAAACAAAUUAAAAAACUUGAUUAGCAAACGUUAAGGGUGCUAAAUAUCAUUGACAUUAAGGAACGCAAGGCCACACUAGUGGUAUUUCUAAACAAAUAACUUAUGAAACCAUAAAUGUGUAAACAACAAGAUAAAGAUAUCUACUAAUCAAGUUAACUUACCAACGCCAUGCAGCAUCACAACCUAGCAAAAUUACAUGUUUAAUAGAUACCAGGUAAUAACCAAGUUAACAUCAACUACUUAUAUGUCAUUCAUCAUUGUAAACAACAAGAUAAACAUUAUAAACAGCAAGGCAACAUGAUUAUCACUCUGUAAACAAGGCAGCAUGAUAAGUAGAUCAUAUAAAUCCUUGAAAGGUAUAUAAUUUAUAUAAACAUAACAAUACCAAUCACCUAUCUAAGUAGGUUAUAACUCUAGAACAUAAGCAUAUGCACCUGGAAACAUAAAUAAACUAUACUAAAGCAUCCUAAUUCAUCAUUGUUUAUAAUCUUUAUCAGUGUAAACAAGAAGAUAUAGACAUCUACUAAUCAAGUUAAUCCUCAAAUAUCAAAAUUACCUGGUGUGAAUGAUCCUCACAUUGGUCUCCAUGCCGUGCUGAUACCAGUUGUAAGCUAUCUAGCCCAGAAUUCCACUGAGCCAUAGACAACCUGCAAGUGUUAUAGAAAGGAAAAACAAAUAUGUCAAACCUAGACCACAAUAUCGAAAAAUUACAGUGGAAAUCUGGAAUUAAAGUCAAAGGACAUUGUUUUCACCAAUAUUAUACAAAUGGAUUGCCAAAUCAACCAAAAAUUGGAAACCUAGAUCAUAAAACUCGAACCCAAAUGAAAUAGUUCAAUUAAGAACAUGUUUUUCAUCCAUAUAUGCGAUUCAAUCAAAGCAAAUACAAUUAUUUCAUUUUCCAAUAAAAACAUGGAAAACGAAUACAAAAACAAACAAACAAGUUAGCAAAUUAAUGUGGUAAGGAAAAUGCAUAUACAAAAUCAUGAUAAAACCUGCAAUCAUGAUAAAAAAAUAUAAUAUUACAAAGAUAGAAAAAAAUUCCAGCCUUGAAUAUUUAUAACACAAAGAGAAUGAAAACUUCAUUUUAUAUCCAAUUCUACUCUCUCACUGACUGAUUAAUUAUGUGUGUUCCCCAUUUCCCAUAUACCAUUCCAUUCCAUUAGUUUUAAUAGGAAAGAUCAUCCAAAUCAUCUAAAACAAUGAAAACUUCAUUUUAUAUCCAUGAACAAAAGCUCCAAACUCUGAAAAACAAAACCAAUUUUAAUUCAUUCCAGAGCAACUGAAUAAAACAGAACUAAACACAACUGAGAAGAAAAACUGUUUAAGCCAAUCACACAGACUAUAUUAAAUCUUUACAAACCAACCGAAUGAUGCAGAAAUGCUUAAUAACAAAAUAGUUAAGCAACAAAUCAUGUAAAAUAAUCAUAAGUCAACUCAACAAAACCAAACAAAACACCGACACCACUGAAUAAACCCUGCCCAUUGGAAAAAAAUAAUACCUAACAAAGAACCCAACCACUGCAAGUGUAAAUUCAAAAGACAUAAGCGUUCAAACACUGCAAAAAUAAGUGGAAGAAAAACACAAAGUCACCAAAGACAAAAGCUUCCUAAAACGAAAAAUCAAACCAGAUGGAACAACCAUAGACAAAUGAUCACAAAAUAGAAGAAAACAUUUGAAAGAAAGAGCUAACAGACCUUUAUUCGAAAGGGCUUGCAACGCUGUUCACAAAACCCCCAAACUCUGGAGACCAAUAUUUUCUGCAACACAAAAGCCAAUCAGAUUAGGGAACCACACCGAAAUCACUAAAAAAAUAACCAAACAAUGAAUGAAAAACGCUAAAAGUUCAAUUUCACACCGAUCAAGCAAUAAUGUAUAGGAAAACCCUAAACCCGAAAGACCCAAAUUUCCCAAAACGAAAAAUCGAAUUAGAUCGAACAGCCACACCAAAAUAAGCAGAAAAAAAGAAGAAAACAUUCGAAACAAAAAACUUACAGACCUUAAUCACAUAUGCUCUGCAAGACUAUUCCCAAAAACCCUAAAAUUCACACACCAACUUUUGCUGAAACCAAAAACCCAAUCGGAUUAAACAAACACGCUAAAAACAAAGAAAAAAUUAGGAAACAACCAAUAUAACACAAACACUCUAAUUUUACAGGCAUCAAUCUGCAAAUUUUCUUCCCAAUCAAAGAAAACACACACACACACACACAAAAAAAAAAAAAAAAAAGAGAAACGACCUCAAACAGCGCAAUGAAUCAGAAAAAGAAACUCUUCAGACAACAGAGGAUCGAUGCAGAGAGAUAAGCAGAGACACGAAAGAUCAAGGCAGGCGGAAGAACACAUAAACAAAGAGGAAGAAAAAAGGGAAAGCUACGGAAGAAAAUAAGCGAUCCCUCGCUUCCGCACCAAAAACGACGGAGACCACGUGGUAGAUGCAGCAAUUGAAAUUAAACAGACCAAGCAGGGGCAAUUGCGUCACAACACUGUUACUUUCACUGUUCAUCAACAGUGUUCCACCCGUUUGGGUUUUAGUAUAUAUAGAAUUUAUACUUUCAUUAAGUAUAACAUAAGAAUCUGUGGUAUCCACAAGUGUAAAUAUUUUAAAUUGAAGAUCGAGCUCAUUCAUUGUAUUCAUAUAGGAUCAAGGAGUGUAGCUGUACAAAAUCAUCAAAAUCGAAGUUAAAAUAACCGUUAAAUCAUGAUUUUUCGUUUAUAACCGUCAGAACGUUUUGUCUCCUUACAUGAUCUCUGAAGGUUUUUUUUUUGCAAUUUUUGGCGUAUACGAUCUCGAAACAUAUAUAAACAAGUUUGACGGUUGGAUCGUUGAAACUAGUUUCGUAUAAUGCGUAUCCUAUGAAAAUGAUAGAUUCACUAACACUUAGAGUUUAUUUAUACUUUCAUUAAGUAUAACAUAAGAAUUUGUGGUAUCCACAAGUGUAAAUAUUUUAAAUUGAAGAUCGAGCUCAUUCAUUGUAUUGAUAUAGGAUCAAGGAGUGUAGCUGUAAAAAAUCAUCAAAAUUGGAGUUAAAAUAACCGUUAAAUCGUGAUUUUUCGUUUAUAGCCAUCAAAAAAUUUUGUCUCCUUACAUGAUCUCUGAAUGUUUGUUUUUUGCAAUUUUUGGCGUAUGCGAUCUCGAAACAUAUAUAAACAAGUUUGACGGUUGGAUCGUUGAAAUUAGUUUCGUAGAAUGUGUAUCCCAUGAAAAUGAUAGAUUCACUAACACUUAGAGUUUAUUUAUACUUUCAUUAAGUAUAACAUAAGAAUUUGUGGUAUCCACAAGUGUAAAUAUUUUAAAUUGAAGAUCGAGCUCAUUCAUUGUAUUCAUAUAGGAUCAAGGAGUGUAGUUGUAAAAAAUCAUCAAAAUUGGAGUUAAAAUAACCAUUAAAUCGUGAUUUUUCGUUUAUAGCCGUCAAAAAGUUUUGUCUCCUUACAUGAUCUCUGAAUGUUUGUUUUUUGCAAUUUUUGGCAUAUGCGAUCUCGAAACAUAUAUAAACAAGUUUGACGGUUAGAUCGUUGAAAUUAGUUUCGUAGAAUGUGUAUCCCAUGAAAAUGAUAGAUUCACUAACACUUAGAGUUUAUUUAUACUUUCAUUAAGUAUAACAUAAGAAUUUGUGGUAUCCACAAGUGUAAAUAUUUUAAAUUGAAGAUCGAGCUCAUUCAUUGUAUUCAUAUAGGAUCAAGGAGUGUAGCUGUAAAAAAUCAUCAAAAUUGGAGUUAAAAUAACCGUUAAAUCGUGAUUUUUCGUUUAUAGCCGUCAAAAGGUUUUGUCUCCUUACAUGAUCUCUGAAUAUUUGUUUUUUGUAAUUUUUGGUGUAUGCGAUCUCGAAACAUAUAUAAACAAGUUUGACGGUUGGAUUGUUGAAAUUAGUUUCGUAGAAUGUGUAUCCCAUGAAAAUGAUAAAUUCACUAACACUUAGUUUAUUUAUACUUUCAUUAAGUAUAACAUAAGAAUUUGUGGUAUCCACAAGUGUAAAUAUUUUAAAUUGAAGAUCGAGCUCAUUCAUUGUAAAUAUUUUAAACUGAAGCCCUUUUGUGACGCCAGCAUUAGUGUCGCUAUUCCAAUCCGACAUUACAUUGUUUUAUGUCAGAUUUUUUUCUAAAUUUCCGAUAGAAAUUGGGUUUCUUGUCGGUUUUUGCUUCGCCACUGAUAAGGUAUAUUGCAGUAGUGGGUGUUGGUACCAAGUAACAGAUUCAUGAUAAAUCGUUCAUUUAUUUGAUUCACAUACAUUAUCUCUGAGCGGGAAGAUCCCCGCCAAAAUAUUACAUGAUAUUUUAAAUGAUUUUUCGUUAGUUUUCAUUUUUUAUUAAAGUGUAACAAGGUAUGUUUAUAUCUUUCGCCAAAAAAGUAACCAAAAAUUGUUAGAGAAGGGAGACAGAUAAUAGGGGCGUGGAUGAUAAUCAGUUAAGAGUGCAAGAAUCGUAAACCUAGGGAUAGAAAUCGUCAAAAUUGUUUCUGAGCGGGAAAGACCCCGCCAAAUUGUUAGAAGAUAAAUAAGAAUUCUUAUCAAACUGAAAUCGGAUGGCGUGAGCGAAGAAUGUGGGAGGGAAGUCAUGAGCAAUUGGGAUUAGCAUGCAAUUGGGAGGGAGAUCAUGAGGCGACAAAAUAGGAAUAGCAUGCAAUGGGAGGGAGAUCAGGCAAUUGGGGGAUGUGAACCGACAAUUGAGGGAUGUGAACUGACAAUUGGAAUAAUAGAAAUAUUAUGGGAGGGAGAUCAUGAGGCGGCAAAAUAGGAUUAGACAAAAUAUGGGAGGGAGAUCAUGCAAUUGGCAGAUGUGAACCGACAAAUUAGGUUUGGAUUGCCACGGGAAAUUUAUAAGUUUGUUCUUAUAAUCAUAUGUUAUGUUUUUAGAAAACUUGGCAUGCUUGUCGAAUUAGAAUGGAUGAUUACAUACAACUGUAUUCAAAUUUACAAUUGUAAUUGCUAAUAAUUGAUCAUAGCCUAAACCAAGUUAUAUGUUGCUAGAAAGUAGUUUGGAGUUAGAAUUGAUAGGAAGAACUUUUUCAAACACUCACAUAUUAUGAAAUCAAAUUGUCAAUAUAGAUUAUUGAUGGCAUAAAACUACAAUCCAGAAAUAUGAAAUGCUAGAUAUCUCUUUAUCUAUGCUCCCGUUCAUAUAGAGAAACAAGAGAGAAUGACAGCAUAAAUAGUUGCCAAGAGCUUUGAUUGUGUUCCCCGGAAAAAAAUGGAUAGGUGCACUGGUGAAAACCUCUCACGUAGAGUUAUUAAUACCUUACCAAUGACAUACUUUAUUGCCUCUCUAAUCAAUUUGCCGAUGAAAUACUUUGUUGCCUCACAUCAUCGGCUAAUAUUUCAAUAUAGUGGGAAAAGUUCCCGCCAAAGUUUACCCGUCAAAACAAAAUUUGUCAGGGUAUCGAAUUUACGCCUACAAAAUGAUCGUCGGCUAACGUUUCAAUUUUCUCGGCUAAGAUUGGCAUUGUAAAUUGGUUCUAGUGUGAGUAUUCAGCCGACAAAUUAAAAAUUUCGUCGAGAAAGGACUCUUGUGCCGACAAAAUUUUGCUUUGUCGGUUUAAUUUGUCGGCAAAAUUAUAAUUUCUAGUAGUGGAUAUGCAUGAAUGCAAUAAUCGACAGGGGUGUUCUCGAUUGCUGCCAGCAUUGGUAUGUGCUUUAGUGUGGUUUUGUGUGUGUGAGAGAGAGAGAGAGAGAGAGGAAUUUUAUUUUAUGACAUGGGUUCAUCUUGGGGUUUUCAGGUUCUGUUUCUCAUGCAUUGACAAUUGGGCUACCAUUACAAACCUCUGCCCGCUUUGCCAGAAUGAAUUUCAAAUGAUCACAUGUGUUUCGGAGAGUGAUGCAAAUAAACAGUUAUCGCUUUAGUAUUAUUUCUGUUAUGAUUGCUAUGGAUUAUAGAAUGGUAUUAAUGUACAACCAGUUUAAAGCACAGUUGUUACUUUGAUUUCUUAACUAUCUGUUUUCAAUAGUUUUCUUUUUGUUGCAAACAGAAUUUUUAUUUUGAAGUUUUCUCAAAAUAACGAUUUGAUGCUGGUUUGAAGUGGCACUAAAUCAUAAGAGUUUGAUUUGUAUGUGAAGGUAUACGAUACUAUUGGGAGCAUCAAAGCGGACGAGGACUCAACUUAUAGGUACUUUCAUAAUUAUGGAUAAUGUGUUUAAGUCUAUUGGUGAGGGUUCUUUGUUCACAUUUAUGCGGCACAUGUUCCCAAUUUGGAAGCUUGGUUUGUAAAACUUAACUUAUUUCAUUUUGGUUGCAUGCACUUUUAAUUAAAUAGUUUGGUAGACAAAUACAAUUGUGAACUUAAGCUUAACUUGUUAGUUGCUUCCUUUGUAUGAAAAUUGAAACAUGUGGUAUUGUGAUAUUCAUAUUGUGGUGAAAUUGAAACAGGUGGGCUGGGCAGUGGCUGUGUAACCUUAAUUUUUUUUUUUUUUGGGGGCAGUGGCUGGCUGCAAUCUUAAAAGCCCAACAUUUUGGGCUUCAAGGCCCAAUCCCGAAGUAUCCCGAAAAUCCCGAAACACUUUCGGGAAUCCCGAAUUUCGGGAAAUGCACAUAUUCGGUUCGGUUUCGGGAUAUAAAAGCCCAUCCUGAAAUGUUUUGGUUUGGGAUUCGGGAAAGGAGUUUCGGUUCGGGAUCCCGACCCGAACCACCCCUAAUUACACCUACCAAACUUAAGAGCACGCGCAAACUUGAUGAGACAUAUAUCAACACGUGAGAACAAUGAUUGAUCAACAUUACCUCCAUAGUAUUAUUAGAGUGAAUGAUUGUAUGAUAUUAAUUUACUAGAGUGAAUGAUUGUAUGAUAUUAAUUAUGCGUUAAGAUCUUGGGAAUUUUAAUGAAAAAUUACUGGUAUUAUUCAUUUUAAUAAAAAAUUACAUUUUUACAUUAAAAAGUCAAUCUUAGUACUAUUCACUUUAUUCUUUAUUUUGUCCUUAUUGUUAAAACUCAAAGUUUUCAAGUCAUUUUCAUUAAUUUUCCUUAAGAUCUUUUGAUUUGGCAUGCGGAAGUGUGUGUGUUUGUAUAUUAUAUAGGGAUAAUACUAAGUUAGGUUCAUAUUAUCUUAACUAGUGAUAAAUUAAGGGUUCUUUCGAGUUAUUCGAAACAGUGGUUUAUAUUAUCUUGACUUACGUGCAACCUAAACACAAAAAAGAGAGGCUGUACUGGCUUCCAAAAUAAAACUAGAUGCAAACAAUAAUGUGGAGUUCCGGUUACUCUUUUGGAAUCAACCAAAGCUGAAUCAUUGAUGCCUAAUUUCAGAAAGUUUUCCUUUUCUGCAUGCAGAUCUUUUCAAUGGAUGUAGCUCAGUUUUGGGAGGUAACCACUUACUUCAUCGAGUUCAUUAAUUUUAAUCAAUCUAAAGUAAUUUAACUAAGUUUAUUAACCUUACAAUGUUGAGCGUUAAUACCCAAUUUUGGAGGAAUUGCAUCACGUUUAUGUAAAGGUAAUCGAAAUAAUAGAGCGGAAUUAAAUUCCAAUUACGGAAUACUCCAGUAUUUACCAAAUAUUGGAGAAUAAAAAAUUUGAUAGCACCCACUCAAUUUUUUAAUCCAAUACUAAUUCAUAUUCAAAUUUUGGAAUAAAAAAUCUAAUACUAAUUCGUACUCAUCAAAUGAAAGUAAAAUCUAAUUCUUCAUUUUUUAAGUAAUUAUUGUAAUGUGAGUAAACGCAUGAAAAUCAUGAUUUAGAAUAUUUUCUAAUGCAGACUCUAAGUCUGAAAUUGAAAUAUAAAGAUAGCCGUUGACGGGUCGAUUCUGGUUAAUCUAGGCAUGAGAAUACGAAAAAAAUACACACAAAGUUAUUAAGAUAGCUUUCCUUUUUUAUAUUUUAGCGAUAGUCUAGUCUAAUCCAACAUUAGACCACAUUCAGUGAUUCAAACUAAGAGAAGGGGGAUUCAAACUUGGCUACACUCGGAUUCUCAUAUGAGGAUUGAUUCUGAAGUAAAAGAAUAUAACCAAGUUGAUCAAGAAAUUUCAAAAUUUCUAAUGGAAACUUAUUAGAAAUUUUUUGUGAAGGUGUUGAAGUUGGGAUUUUUUUGUUUGUUUUCGUAUUGAAGUUGGGAUUGAAACAGAAGAUAAAGCAUAAUAUAAAGUUUCAUUACAAUUAACAACAUGUUCUAUUAAAUGAAAGUGACUAAAUAUUGAAAAACAUGCUACGCCGCGUUGAUCAACUCCGGCAACGAGCAUUGGCACUGCAUCCGUGGUUGUAGGGGUUGCUCUGAUUCUGAGCACCCGGCUUGCAGUUGUUGGAGGAAGCACCUCUCUGAGAGCAAGGAACAGUGUUUCUCUGCAGCGCUUCAUAGCUUAUGUUUCGUGAGGUGGCCAAGAUGCGUCUGCUAAUCUCCGAGUCCAUGCCAAACUCAUCAUCACGAUCAUCCAUGCACUCUGCUACAGAACCCUCGCAGCGAGGUCUCACUGGAACCCAGCUCACCCCAUGAUCGCCGCCUGCAUCAACGGAGAUGACCAGAGCGGCCACGAAAAUCAACGAAAAGAUAAUCGCAGAGGAAUUAGCCAUAGGUUUUGGUACGGUCUGUGUUUUUAGCUGCCAACUUGUAUUUUGUUGUACGCCUGUUAAUUACAGAGGGAGAGAGAGGGGGCGGCAAGAAAGAGAGAGAUAAUCGGUGAAAUUUUGAUGUGUAUAUUAUUUCACCCUAUUGUGCUAUUUAUAGUAGUAAAAAGGGAAAAUUUUUGUCUUUCAAGUAAUUCAUAGGAGUUAGGGAAAAUCCUUGUCUUUCAAGUAAUCCAUCUAAAAUAGGACACUACGUAAAAGAUAUUAUACAAUUCCAUAAGGAUUUACACAAUCACAUUCCUAAUUAAAUUAAGACUCUGACAUUUUUAAGUUUGGUUAAAUAAAAAUUGGAUGUUGAUUUCUUCAAGGAGAUAAUUACUUAAUUGACAUGCUUUAAUUCAACCUUAUUCCAAUUGCAACAAAGAAAGCUGAAAUUGGAAUAAUUCGUGAUUUAUUCAAAACCUACCAAGAAAACAAAAUCAACAACUACUACAAAAUAUGCUCGUAGAGAUUUCCGGGAUGUUUCUGCUCUUAAGUGUUUUUGCUAAAAGCUCUUUUAUCAGCACAAGGUUGAGACUUUAAUUAAAAAACUAAGUUUUUCUCGAAAAAAUAUAAGCAUGCCAAUAGAUUGAACUUGUUUACAACAUCAGCAUUAUAAUAAUAUUGUUGGAAAAUAUUAGGUUUACUUUAAUGUUUGGUUUUCUGGGCUUAGCCCGUUAGUAUUAGGGUUUCGUUUUCUUGCUUAUUAGGGUUAUGUUAGUUCUCUAUAUAUAUGGUGUUUUGUAGCUUGUAU
rnacentral:lncRNA from 1 species